rnacentral:lncRNA from 1 species
CUUGCCGGACUCCUCGCAGCCAGGUGGCUUGAAAGCGAUGAAGCUGAUGCACUGUACUUGCCUGGUGUUGUCGAAGCCGAUGAUGCGGACAUAGGCGCCAGGGUAUUCCUUCUUGACCUCCUCCAACUCCUUGAGCACCUGCGUGGCGUCAGUGCACCCGAACAUGGGAAGCUUCCACAUUGUCCAGUACCUCCCGUCCUAGUACCCUGGGGAGUUGCCGUGCUCACGGAAGACGAAACCGACCUUGCUGAACUCGAGGCAAGGAACCCAUUUGGAGCGGAUGAGAUACUCGAUCUGCUUCAGGAGGGACUCCACGGUGAGAGGUGGCAGGUAGGAAAGGGUCUCGAACUUCUUGAUGCCCUCAAUUGGCCACACCUGCAAUUAGAUUAAAAUUAGCACACAAAGUGUGAUUUGAGACACAUAUCGAUGGAGUAUUUCACUUCACACAUAUCGGUAUGAUGAUAUACAUACCUGCAUGCUCGUGAUCCUGCCACCGUUGGAGACGCUGCCGAGGCCAGCGCCGGCAGAGCGGCGGCUGACGGGGAGCCCGGCGGUGGACUUGAGGCCCCGGAAAGGAGCAACAGCGGUAGCCGCCGCCGACAUCACUGUCGGACCCAUAGCAUCCACCCUUGUAUCACUAGAGUAUAUCUACUUAGCUAAUAUGCUAAGUUUGGCACGGAGAGAGGAGGUCGAGUGGACUUCAUUCCUGGUCACAAGGGUUUAUAUAUACCAUAUAACAUACGAGCAAUUUGUGAUUAAUUUGUUGUCGUUCUAGGAGAUGUGGAAAGGGUGGAUGCCGUUCGUUGGUUGCCUUAUCCGUUCUAGAGAAGGGAUGGAUGACCGACGCUCGCUCAGCCGUCUCCUUCGUCCAUCGUUGCCAAUCUUUCUAGCUAUAAUUGGAAGUUCCAAAGGAACAUACGGUUUCAUGCCUACUUCCAUCGGCCUAUCAUGUACCAAUCCAAUAAAAGGACAUCGUUCAACCAUCAAUCCAUGUGUGUGUAGUAAGUGAUUGGCUACGAACCUUCAGCUGACUUGCUUUAUUGGAUAUUUCUGUAAAGCGAGUCCACGGUGUGUGGGUUUAAAAUCUCGUGGCGGCAACUGUUGACGGGUGCAAAUAUCAGUAGCCUUAAAACAAUAAACUUUACUCCGUCCCUUCCGAAAUGCAAGAAUGUCCUAAGUCAAACUUCUUAUGCUGCAGGACCAUAGUUUUUGAGGUGUUCUUCUCACGAGUCCACGAAGAACGGGAAUUUUUUGGUGUCGGGUAAGGGCGGGGGAAUAUAUAGAUGCUAGCAUCAGCAUGACGGGCUAACGGGUCAGGUAGGAUUUUGGACGACGUAGCACCUGACAUGUGGGGGCCACAUGUAAGAAAACCUGUCAAAAUGUCAUAACCCUCUGUUUUGGUCAACUUGAUACAAUCUGAUACAAAACGUGUGGUUUUCCUGACAAAUUAGCAAAUUUUGUGUCUCUGUGAGAAGCACGCCCCAAAAACUGUGGUUCCGUGAAAUUUAUUCACUAGUUACACUUUAUCUACAAACAUCUACGAUUCUAAAAUAGUUUGGUAUAUAUUUUCCGUAAUAUAAUUAUUUGAUAUUCUAAAUUCGGGGAUUUGUUCUUAUAAACUUGGUCGAAGUUUAAAAAGUUUGACUUCGGACAAAGUUACGACUUUUUACAUUUAGGAAUGAAGGGAAUACAUUUUAGUAAAGCAAUUGAGGAAUUGACAGAAUUAAAUAUCUUAAAUUAUACUGGUCCAUCGUGUACUCAUGGCAACAAAAUAAAUUUAUAGUCGAAAAGUUGGACCAUGAAAACUUAAAACGUGAUACAUUAAAAUUGUUGAAUCACUCUACAUCUUGUAAUUUUCUCUUGCAACCUUCUGGCGCGCUACUCAUUCCACAUUUGGUACUAUAUGUAUAAAUGUAUAUAUAUACCGCAUUAGGAGCCUCUAUUACUGUUUUAGUAUAAAUAGCAGUUUCCAUCGACUAUGCACUUCAUUAACUUUUUCUUCACGAGAUAACUUGCUUAUCGAUUUUCUUUAAUUAUCCAGAUGGCUUCUACUAGUUUGUUUCCUUGCUUACUGGGAUUUCCGCAGACUUUACGGUUAGGUAUUAUUGUCGUGUGGACAACACGGUGGCCGGAUGUUGAGAUGAUGAUGUCCUUUAUCUCCGUGUUGCUUCUGAGGACUGCGGAUCCGAGGCUAGUGGCGGUAUGGGAUGCCUCUCUACCUCUUGAUCAGGUCAAUCCGGCUCAGCAAGAGGCGGAUCGAUGGUGGCCGGUGUGACUAGAAGCGGGGAGGUAUAUAUGAAACGUUUCUUGCUUCCAGCAUCUCUUCUAGCGGUAUAUAUGUCGUCAGCUGGUUGAGGGAUUGAUGGCAAUCGAUCAUGGCUACGAUGACAUGUAUACGCGCCGGUAGGAACACAUAUCAGGCAAUGUCGAUGCACCUGCAUUGGGCCCUUGCUGAAGGUGGUGGUGCGUAUGGCAGUCUAAAGAUUUAAGACACAAAUUUAGACUUAAAACUUAAAUAAUCAAUUUGUGCCAGCGGGAAACACACAAACACGUACCGGUAAAUUAUCAUAAUCAGAAUUUGUCGACGAAUUUGAUAUUCUUUUACAAAAUAUACUUAUCUUAAUAUGUAUAACCGGAGUUUAUAUUACAUGCCCCUCUCCCAACGAUAGUUGUAGUACUCUUAUAAUAGUAGUACUCAUGAAUACAGUUAAUCCGGGUUGUUGGGAGAGAUCACAUGCAUAAAUACAACAUGAAACAAACGUGUGAAAAAGGUACAUAAAAUCGGUGUGACCCGUUCUUGUAUUAUAAGAAAUCAACUUGCUUAGGCCUUGCCGGACUCCUCACAACCCGGUGGCUUGAAGGCGAUGAAGCUGAUGCACUGCACUUGCCUGGUGUUGUCGAAGCCGAUGAUGCGGACAUAGGCGUCAGGGUACUCCUUCUUCACCUCCUCCAGCUCCUUUAGCACCUGCGUGGCGUCGGUGCACCCGAACAUGGGAAGCUUCCACAUUGUCCAGUACCUGCCGUCGUAGUACCCGGGAGAGUUGCCGUGCUCACGGAAGACGAAACCGACCUUGCUGAACUCGAGGCAAGGAACCCACUUGGAGCGGAUGAGAUACUCGAUCUGCUUCAAGAGGGACUCCACGGUGAGAGGCGGCAGGUAGGAAAGGGUUUCGAACUUCUUGAUGCCCUCAAUUGGCCACACCUACAAUUAGAUUAAUAAUUAGCACCGAAAGUAUAAUUUGAGACACAUAUCAGUAUUUCACUUCAACAUAUGUACAUGAUGACAUACAUACCUGCAUGCACCUGAUCCUUCCACCGUUGGAGACGCUGCCGAGACCAGCGCUGGCUGAGCGGCGGCCGAUGGGGAGCCCGGCGGUGGACUUGAGGCCCUGGAAAGGAGCAACGGCAGUAGCCGCUGACGACAUCACUGUGGGAGCCAUCGUACACGUACGUAGAUAGCUAACAAGAGGAGGCAGGCUUGCUUGAGUGCUCUCUAGCUACAGCGGCUUAUAUAACUGUAGGCUCCCCACCCAUCCAAUAUCAGCACAAGAUCUAGGAGGGGUGGCUGCAGUUCGCCGCGCGGAUUUGCCCAGGCCACGCUGGCAUCCUACGGAUCAGGUCGGGCGCCACAUGGCCGCACGAAAUGGCGCGCGUUAUCCUCUGGACGGAUACAAUUGGCUGCAACGCACUCUGCAAAUCAUGCCAUGAAGUGACCAAUUUUCACCUAUCAGGAUAGAUCCAAUGUGCCACGGCAUGCACUCAAAAACAGAACUUGCUAAUCCCUCCAAUCCAUAAAAAAUCUCGCCCACUUAUUAGAAAAUUUGUAAUGAGUUAAUGCAAAAUGAGCAGCACUUUUUAUGAACUAGAGGAACAACAAAUUAAGAGAAACUCUUCUAAGAUCUUAUCGAGAACGAAGCUUGCCCCCGCGUCGCUCAGUCUGGGGCGACACGGGCGGCAACCACACCAGCCCCGGCAGCAGCCUCUCCCCGUCCUCUCCUCCCCCUCGCCGCCGCCGGGCAAAGCCCGCACGGGGACGGCGGCGGCGGGGCUGUUUUUCUUGGCGGGGGUGUCCUAGAGCUCUUGGCUGAGGCGUUUGAGGUGCUGCCUCAUCGUGGUCGCGGCGUCUCCGGCCCGAUCCGGCAGGCUAUGCCUCGUCUUCGGCUAGAUCCGGCCGGCUUCCUCCCGGAUCCGGUGUUUCCCCUCGUUCUUCCUCUCCCUGGUGCUCGGUCUGCUCGUGGCUGCGCGGCUUCACGGCGGCGCUCUUCGGCCGGAUCUAGCUACUCGUUGGCCAGAUCCGUCAUCUCCUCCGGCUGAUCCGGCAUGUCCCAGGUCUCUUCGUUUCCAUCAUUUUUCCUCUCAGUUUGGUGAGGCGGCUGAUUGAACUUCACCGGCGGCAGAUGGGCUGCUGCUGCGGCCAUACAUGGUCCAAGUCGGUCCUUUUCGAUGCCAUGGUGGCGUGGUUUUCAUUUUCGGUCGCGUCUUCGGCUGCUGCCCGUGUGCGAGGUAUGGACGUCGGCUCCGGUGUUUGGAGUGUUGCUCUGGAUGAAAACUGCCCGUGUGCGAGGUAUGCCGAAGACAACGAUGUUGUAGCGCCGUUUUCCUUCUUGGAGGUGUCGUCGAAGAGCUUCACUUUCCCUCACUUUGAUGUUUGGUGUCUUCGGGUGAAAACCUAAGAUUUGGCUAUGGCCAGAUCGGGCGACAACGGCGUUUUUACGUCGAUUUCCUCCUUGGGGGCGUUGUCAUGGAGACAACGACUCUUGGUGGCAUCGGGUGGUGUGGUCCGUCUAUGGUGGAGCUUGUUGUCUCGAGUUGUUGAAGGUUUGGUGGUGUCUCUUCUUGUGUCAUGUGUUAGCUUAGGCUGUCGGUUUGUGUCCGGCGAGAACGUGCGUUUCUUAUCCUUUGGUGCGGUUUCGGCAUGUGAUGCCUUUCGUCUUCACUAUCGUCACGUAGGUGUCGUGUUGUAUUCUCGGUGGUGUGUGGUCUUUCGGCUUAGCCAACGGCAAGUGGAGGUAUGAUCUCGGUUGUGUAUUGCCCUUCGACUUCAUCGGCGGCACAUCGGCGUCGCGGUGGGUCUCAGUGACGCGCAGCCCUUCGACUCUGCCGGCUACGUAGGUGUCAUGGUGCGGCCUUGACCCUGUGCUUCCCUUCAGCUACGGCGACGACAUAGUGUCUGGGUGGGCUCGUCAGAUCGACGCCUUUCGACUACAUCAACUAUGCUCUUCAUUGUGCAUUUAUUUUGCCAUUGACAUGUUUCAAGAGUCUAGGUUUUUUCCUUGUGUUUCUUUUAGCAAAUGCUGUUCUGCAGGCUGGCUUUUGCCCACCCGAUCAGAAAAGAAAAACAAAUUAAAGGCUAAAAUCAAGCGAUGUUAUAUUCCCUUAGCUAUUACAAAUAUGGAUGAUAAGAGUUAUUUAUCCUUUUUCAACGAGUAACCCUUUACUUGGAAGUUCCAUGUGCAUGGCGCUGCAAGAAAACAAACAUCAUAAUGGGGCAAGACUUUUUUUUUUAUAAACAUCCAAUUUGGGUUAAAGUCUGAAAGAAUUUGGCUAUCUGAACUUUCAGUUUCCACAUUCUUUUACCUACUCAAUUCUUCAGCCAACAGGAUCAAUGGCGACCUACUAACACCAACCAGAACACAUGGGUCACAAACACGAAAAAGGGCUAGAAGGCUACUUAUACACACUCAUGUGUACUGCGAGCAAAAGAACAUAAUGUACAAAACUUUACAAAAUCUAGGGAAUUAAGACCUUCCCGUAUGCUGUUGCUGCCGCUGCUGCUUCAUGCUGGCUCUCCUGGCAACAUCCCAUGGUUUGUGAGGCACACCUACACCUUGCUGGGAUGCGAAGAACGACUCGUAUCCCGGGGAGUCGAAAGCAAAACCAGUGUGCUUGGAGUUCUCUCGAGGGAGCAUGGAGAUCGCAUAGCUUCUUGCUUCUUCUGGGCUCAAAUGGCUCCUCUCAGGCAGAUGUAUCAUGCUGUAUUCGUGGGGGUCAUCCUUGUGCAUCUCCUGGAUUACUUGGUAGUCAUAGGGAAAGAGCCAUCUUUGGAGCCUGAGAAAGCACACAGCAUCAAAGACAACAAUUGAUUCAGCUACUUCAGUAUGUACAAUGGAAGGAAUAACAAACGGAUGGCAUUAACAAACAUAUAAUUUUGCAAAAGAGCUGGUAUCUUACGAUAGAUACAGGAAAUCACCAAAGAGAGCGAUGACUGGAGCAAGCAUUAGUGUGAGGUAGAAGAAAAAGGUACUCAUCAGAACAUAAAUCACAAAAUAUACAUUUUCCUGCACAAGGUACACAGCAUUAAGUCAAUGCAUUUGUAGCAAGUAAUCGUCAUCAGCAGUGUAAUAGCUACAUUAUUCACCCACCUGUCGGUCAAAUGAUGUCAUUAUCGCAGAAUAUAUGAAGAUAAACAGAAACCAGGCCGCUAUACUGCCAGCUACGCUGAAAUAAUGCCAUCUCGUGAUAGAAUUGCACGACAUGAGGAGACGUAGAUUAACAGUCACCACAACACAAGUAAAGGCCAUCGUGCUAACAUCCCAUUGACCAAGAAUCUUGCCAGAUGAACCGUGACCAUGCUGACUUGCAGCUGCAGUAAAGUAAUAGAACACUAUUGACUGGUAGAAGGCAAAGAAACCCCACACCGCAAUCACUUUCCACCGGAAGAAUGUGUUCCUAAUUCCUUCUUGGUAAAGUUGUGGGUAUUUUUUUGAUAGAGAUGCACUCACAUCCUGAAAGGGUUCAGUUUAGUGAAUGUAGCAAGGAGCGUCACUCCAGAACAAGAAAAGUAGAACAAAUACAAGCAACCAUACCUUAUCAAACAACCCAACCAUAAUUACAGGUAGUGCCGUGAAAAUGACAUUAUACAGAGACUGGAACCAGUCAUCAUAAAAUCGCUGACCAGAAAAGCCAGUUUGGAAAGUGAACCAGAACUGAGUUAGUGUAAAAGUCAGAUUCUUGUAGAAGAAGUAUGUGAUAACCUGAAACAGAAAGUGUCAAUGUUAAAAAAAUUAAACUACACAGAUUGGCAGCUACAAGCUAAGGGACCAAAGCAUACCUUGCACAAUCUCAAGUAUGACCACCGCCCAUGUACAAGAAGUAAAUCCGUAAGAUAUCGAAACUGAGCAAUGGCAAAAUCACUCGCCAUAACAGCUUGCAUUCCUUCUUGUCCGCUGAUGCCAAUACCAACAUGAGCAGCUUGAAUCAUACUCACAUCAUUAGCACCAUCACCAAUACUGAGAGUUAUCUUACGUGCACCUUUCCUAACUAAACUUGCAACCUACAAAUGUGUCAACAUUACAUGUUUUGGCAUCAUUCGAACCCAACAGGUUAUUAGGAAAUAAAUCCAAAAAUAAGAGACUUUGAGAUUGCUGAUGGGAUGGGUAACAACCAAAUAAGCACAUAUACAAUAAGUUAAUUAAUACUACCUUUGUUUCAAAAUAUUAUACCAAAACGUCUUAUAUUUUGAAACAGAGAUAGUACUUAUAGUACAAGAGUGUACAGGACAUUUAGUUAAGAGGCCAAAACUAGAAUAGCAAAAGCAACCAAUGCACAGUGGUUAAUAAUGAUCUUGUGAAUCAUGCACAAACUAUUUUGUUGUCAAGGUACAAAAUUGGAUCCUUUAAAAUGUAAUAAUAUCAAUAUCCCCCGUUUAUUGCCCAAGCAUCCUGAAAGGCAUGCAGCUGAGAGCUGCAGACCAUACUGCUAAUUAUUUCAUGGGAAAAGGCAAGGCAUGCAUGAUAAGAACGCUAAAAGCGAGAAUUGAUAUUUACCUGUGCCUUUUGCAGUGGAGAAACUCGACAACAUACAACUGAUUGGCAAAUUAAACUCAAACCAAGAAGAUUCACACGCAGAGCUGGGUCUAGAGCGUACAUCAAGCAUCGUCCAUCAAUAAUGAAAGCCAACUUUCGUCCUGGCGUGCUCCUCAAAGAACGGUGGGCUUCCUCAAGGUAACUUCUCAGACUCUGUUUUACCGAGUCUUUGAUAACACGUGCAAUUUCCACAGGGUCUCCCUGAAAAUGACUGGAACAUUAUUCAUGGCAAAGAUAUGUGCAUAAGUUGAUUUACAUCAAUCAGAUACAAAUGCUAAAUUGCUAAUUAUGGUUGAUCAAACUGCAAAACACACGAGAUAUCCAAAAGGCUAUAUAAACAUGAUGGAGAGGCUAAAGCACUGAAACAACAGAAUCAACAUAAAGUAUUUUGUACUAUUAUGCAACUAAGCCUUUUGUCCCAAGCAAGUUGGGGCAGGCUAGAUAUGAAACCCAAACAGAAACUAAAGCAAAGUGCAGGUAACAAAAGAGCAAGAGAGUAAAUCAAGGUUCAGGCACAUGGACUGCUGAUUUCCAUGCAGCCCUAUCAAAAGCAAAAUCUCUAGAUACAUUCCAGUCCUUCAAGUCCCUUUAACUGCCUCCUACCAAAAGCAAAUAUCAUAGUAAUCCACCAACCAAAGUAACAAGGGAACUACUUGUAACUUCUUAGUUCACAAGUACAUACCAGUUGAGCUAUCCAAUUAUUCUAAAUAAUAUGGUUUGAUACCUUUACCAAAGUCUCAACUUGUAUUCAUUUUAAAGCUUAUACAAGAUAUUAUAUGUUAUGGCUUAACAGUCUCCAUGACACAAUAUGGCUUGACUUCACAGUUUAAUUCUAUAGGAUUAUCUUACCCUGUCUUCAGCAUCUCUAAUUGCAUCUGUCUCAGAAGUGAUGAUGAAUUGUUUUGUAUCGUUAUUCACCAGGCUGCACGCUGCAGAGCAAAAACUAAAUAACUUCAGAAGCUUUUCUAUGUCAGGUGAAAGAGAGAGAAAAAGACCGCCCGCCCCCCACCAAUAAUCCAAAACUGAGCUUCUAUUAGACCCCUUAAGAACGAAACAAGCAUGCAAAUUGAUCUAUAUAUAAUUAAAACCUCACCAUAUGCUAUAUUAAUUGCUGUUUCCAUUUUAUCUCCAGUUAGCACCCAAAUUUUUAUGCCAGCUGCAGAAAGAGUUUCAAUGCAGGCUGGAACCCCUUCUUGCAGUUUGUCUUCUAUUGCAGUGCACCCUAUCAAUAUAAGGUCCUUUUCAAUCAACUCAGCCACCUACAGGGGAAGAAACAGAAGGAAAUUAUAUGGCAAUGUCCCAGCAAUAUCUUAAAUCAGAAUAUACAUUAAGUCUAUUACUUCAAAUUCCUUUUUCCUAGAAAUCACAGUGAACUUAGUACAUGAAAGAAUGAAAGGAUAAUGCUUUUCUAAUGGGGAUUUGAAAAAACAUCAUAAAAAUAAUAAUAUAAAGUACUGUAUGUUCUUGUUCUAGAUAAAUUACAAAUAUCUUUUGCUCAUGAUCCUCUUUCCUGACUAAAAAAUAUAUAUUAUUAUGUAAAAUACUAAUGUUCUAUGGCAGUACAAGAUAAUAAAUUAGCACAAAAAACUAUUAAACUGCAAAUGUCAGCUGUUAGGGAUGGAUGACAUGACUCCUGUAGUUUUGGGGGGAGAGAGAGAGGAGACACACUGAACAAAUUACUUCCUUCGUCUCCAAAGAUUGCCAUGCCACAUUCUAUUCGGUCAGUCAACCUUUUACAACUUCAAAAUUAACAAUUAUAAGUGAAUUGAAUUACUACAUGAAAAAUAACAGCACUCAAUUUGCUUGCAUAAUAAUUUGUACGCAAAACUUUUGCUUGUAUAUUAGCAUAGAAAUCAUAGCCAGAGUUUUAUGUUGGGAGAAUAUAAAAUUAAAAAAUGGCCUACAUUUGUCAGGUACAUUCAGUUAAUUGUUUCCAAAACCAAAUUAAUUUUCAUACAUAAAUACCAAACGGAUCAAUAGCAUGCUCAACAGUGCACAUGAGACUCGAGUUCAGUACUGGAUGACAGAAAGUAAAAAAAAUCAGGCAAGCACUAGAAGGUGGAGGGGAAGUAAUCGAAAUUCAAAUCACAGGGACUGUUCAGCCUGUAUACUCAACAGAAGAGGAUGGUACACAUACCUCAUCAAGCUUCUUAUCACGAUCUCGUAAAGAAGAUUUAGCUUGAACAAACUUCUCAUUCCAGCUUUCGUACUGCUCCCUGCUUAGAUCUCGAUAAGCAAGGCAAAGCGUGCGCAAGCCAGCAGAGCCAAAUUGUUCUAGAUGUUCUCUGCUUGUCUUUUUAAUGUCAUGAUUUCCAUCAGCUAACCGUUCAAAAAUGACAUUAUCAGCGCCCUGUUACACAACAUUUGUAUAAGGUUAGUGCAUCAAUCUACAAAGUGAUAGCUACAUAAAGAUUCUUUUUUCUUGUAUUACCUUGCAAUACAGAACAAGUUUUCCAUUUGGGAAACGGCAAACCACAGAUUGGCGCUUUCUUGUACUGUGAGUGCAGUAAAGUGUGAAGUGCAGAACAAUGAUUUCAUCUUGUCAAAUUUAAAUUGAAAACAGAUAAACCAGACCUGUUGAAUUCCAAAACAUUCAGAAUUUCAUAUGCAACAUCUUGUAUACUCCCCAUCCUCUCAACAUGUGAUUCCCGAACCAAGACUGUGGUUGGCGUACGUCUACAAGACAGGCACAAAAUGUCAACCACCGGCAUUGCCAUUCACAAUAAAAAUGCCACAUGAAAUAAUUUGCAACAAAAAUCAUAAGAACUUAGAUGAGUUCAUGUUCACAGCACUUGCUUUAACACUUGUCUUAAUUUACAACGGCAAUUUUUUGUUGAUGGGCUAAUAGUUUAUUUAUGCUUCUUAGUAUGUACAUUCAGUCCUUCAUACAACAAACUAUAUAAGCAAUAACCUGGGUGAGUGACUCUUUUAUGCACAUUUUCCUUGGGACCAUAGCAUAGUUUUUUAAGAUACCUUGUUUGCAACAAACUGAUAAGAGGAAUCUAUAACUGUAUUUAAAGGCAAGGUAAGACAUGCCUAUAAAAGAAGAAACCAAAAUUCUUCGCAGCAGCGACAAGCGCGGCCUCGUCGGGAGAGGCAGCUUGAUAAGUAAUCUUUUCCGGUGUCUCCUCACCCUCAGGAAGAACUGUAUGACAGAUUGCAAGGCAUCUGCAGAAUUGCUAUAGAGCAAAUAACAAAGUUGUUACACAACUAGCACAUUAACAAGGGAAAAUGUGAAAAAGGAAAAUAGGUUCCAAAUUUUAUUAGUAAGGGCAUAUAUCGUGAUAUGUGAAUAAUUUGUGUCAACUAAAUCAAAACUGAUUAUGACCAAAGGGGAACCAAUCGAACUAUUCCACAGGUAGUCCCGUAUUUACCACGCAAGCAUCAGGAUUAGGUUCAUUUCUCCAUGCACCACGCAUUAUUCUAGCAUCAUCAAAGUUGAAUCCUUUCUCAUGAACUGCAGUGGCUGAUCUUUUACCCUAAAAAAGGCAAGUAAACUGGAUAUUAAAUCAGUUGUGCAUUAAAUUUUUCAUCAUAUACCACCACACUUCAAUAGCGUAAACAACAAAGAAAAUGUUGUAGACCUCAUCAUCAUCAAUCUUGACUCCGGCUCGCUCGGCUCCUCCUUUUUCAAUCUCUGUGAUGCCAGUUCCAUAUAUUUCCCCUCCAAUCGAACAUUUAAAGAAUUCCAUCAAGUUUCUUGUAAGUGUUCCAGUUUUGUCAGAAAAUAUAUACUCAACCUGAACCAUUAGUGGGGCAAAAAAAAUUUGGCAGAAAUGUCAAAUUAUUUGCAAGUGUUAAGUGCAUUUUAGUACCACUCGGCAUUUGUUCAGUCAUAUAAGCAUUUCUGGGGAUCUAGAACAGUUUUUCGGUGGGAGUAAGUCACUUAAUAUUAGUGAAAUGAGACUGUUCCCCAAGUGCUUAUAAUUGAUCCCACUUUCUGGAAUGAGUCGGUGCAGUGAGGUCAUUCUAUCCAUUAACCAAACCCAGCCAUAUAGGUCAAAUAAGUAAAUAACCCCAUUUCAGCAACAAACAAAGGGGCUUUCAUCAAACUAAACAGAAUGCUAAGGAACAAAAAAAAAACUGAUAUUACCUGCCCAAGCUCCUCAUUCAGAUUAGAAGUCCGAGCCAAAGCUGGGGUGUUGCUCUCGGCAUGAUACAUAUUCAGAUCAUUGUUAAUAAACUUUGCACACUGAAUGAAUUUGAUCAUCUGCCAGCCAAAAUAAACAUAAGGUCCAAUCCAAAUACAGGGUACACUAAAUGAUAAAUUGGUCAAUAUACCUCAAUGGAUACAUAAAGAGAAAUGGGGAUGAUCGUUGAGUAUAGAGUUAUUAGAGUAAACAUAGUUAAAAUGGUCACCUGCAAAAGUACAAACCUAUGAUAUAAGGCCACUUAGAGAAUAUUCUCUACAAUAAAUUAACUAAAAUAAUAUAUACCACAAAUCUGUUCUUGGGAUUAAACUGGUCCUCGACACGCCCACGCAAUCCAAGAUAGAAGUAUUUCUCAUUAAUAAACACGCCACUGUUCACAAAAGCCAAGUAUGAUGAGUCCAUUGGUAGAGUUUUAGGUUUCUAAAGAACGUGCAAGCUAAGCAGUCAUAGUUACCAAAAUCUAUAUGCUGAACAGAGCACUUCCAUUUCUGACCAUCUAGAAAGUGCCCUAUUAUGUACCUCCCACAUAAAACCACUAAGAAAAAAGAUAAGGCUAUUAAGACCUAGUCAUGUGCUCAUCUAUACUGCUCCUAUGCCACAAUAAAAAAAUAACUUCCCCAAACAAGCUCCUGACAACUCAUGUCAUAAUGUUUAAAGUUUAUCUCUCUAUUAACAGUUGUUUUUUCAUGAUCAAUUAAAUUGUGAAAAAUGAUUGUGCAAGCAUAAGCCUCCACAACAUCAACCUAACCGAUAUAACUCAUGUUCAGAGAAUAUACAUGUAAACAAUAAUACAAGAUAGAUAAGUCAAAUAAAUGAAGUGGGCCAAAUAAAACACUGACCUUCCAAUAGCACCAAUGACACACAUCGUAAAGAGGGUUGCAAAUAGAGCAAGAAUAAGCUUGUCUAGUUUCUUCUCCAAUGUACUUCUUUUAGAGGGAACAUUCAUAGAAUUCAUCAUAACCUGCAAUAGUGUCCCACUGCAGUAAAUCUCAAAACUAGAAGCACAUCUAACCUACAAGUUGAAUAUAUAGGGACACAAAAUUGCACAUACUUUCGUCUCAUGGCCCGUGAAUAUAACAGCCGCGACAAUGUACUCUGUAUUACGAAGGCUGCAUCCCUGUGGCAAAGUGGUAAUAAGAGGUUGCAUGUGUGCCACAUAAAGAGAGAGAAUUAAGUGUCAUGCAAGACACCGUUCAGUCUGGUGAAAGUAAACAUUUCUUUUGCACUUUACAAACAUUGCUUCAACCCUUCACCACUUAUCCUACAUAUGGGACUAGAGAAGAAAUGGAAGUUGUUUAUAUGAAUGUUAAACAUUUCCAAAUUGUUUAUAUCAUAGCUAUCCUUGUUUGCAAACCAAUAAGAACAAUAUUAUUAUAGAGGUGUUUUAUGAUGAAAAUUUCUGCUGGUGACAUUUGGGUGUCGUCAAUAUUGGUAUUUGGAGGAGAUGUUGGUGAUCAAAGUUAAAGGCCGAGUAAAGGCAUCACGCUAUGAUGUUAUUUUUUACCUGAGGGAUUUUCUUAACAAACUCAUGCUAAAUCUAGAACAUGCAAACAACUUUGCAGGUGGACAAUCUUGUAAAGAAAUUUCAAGGGCAUGUUUGUGUGAGGGGUAUUACUUUGGUACGUGUUGGUAACUACAUACCUAAUUGUUACAAGAAAAAUCUCAUCCAAACAAGCCCUAAGGACAUUAUGGACCUUGCUACUGCAAAGUUGGUAAGUCGAAAAUACGACAGGAUGUCUGAUUGAUAUGUAGGACCUGGACCCACAUGUCAUUCUCACAGCGAGUCGCACUAUUUCAAAUGUCAACUUUGUGGUGGCAUGGUUUCAAUUUUCCCAAUAAGAAACUAGAUACAAAUAGCAUAGAUGAACAGCACUUACCCUUAGUAGUAUUUGAUUUGGUGAAAUUGGUAUAGUUUGCUUGUCCACAAUAAGGUUCCCGGUAAAUGUAUAAAGUGAAUUGUUUGGCUGUUCGCAUUGUAUUUCACCUGUAAGCCAUGAAACAUACAGAUAAUGUGAAGUUAAGAAAAUGUAGAAUAGUUAAGUGAAGUUCAGAAAAGGAGCAAUGCUUCCUACACCAACUACCGAAAAAUGUCUGCAACAUGGAACAAGAAUAGAUAAAAACCUUUGAAUUCAGAAGCCUUUUCAGGAAUUACGCAGUCCCAGGUUUUCUCCAAAGCCUUCCUUAUUUUCAGGUUAGUUUCCCCAUCAAGAUUUGCUGUCUAAGGUAAAUAGAAGUAUGAUACACUUCAAUUAAAACAGAGUUUCUCUAAAUCAUUCAAUAAUUUCAAUUUGGACAAAAGAUGGAGAAGGUAAGAAUGAAUAUAUUGACCUCUAUGUAGCAGACACCAUCAGGGUUCGUACUUGAUAGGAAGAGCAAGUCAGAAGGAAAGUAAGUGUCUUGCUUGAUCUGCUCUAAAGAAGUGCCAUCACUAUUAGUCUUUUUGGAUAUGUGUAUCGAGCUGAAGAUUAAAUUUGCACAGCACAAAAGAUCAAGUGCAUUAAUUUGUGGAAGCAACAGAUCAAUUGAAUUGAUCAUCAAAUUGCUAUCAGGAAAGAUGAAGACAUUACCCUCACAAUAUCUCCAACCUGCAGUCUUUUCCAAGGGGCACUUUCCCAUUUUUGACCUUGCAAUACAUCGACGUGCGCAUUAUUAAUUGACAUGUCAUUCUGGAAACGUUUCUGUAUAAUGGGAGGCAAACAAAAAGGGAAGAAUAUCAGAUAACAUUAAGAAUAGCAAUAAAAUAGUGGAGCAACAGAGCAUGAGAGCAAUACUAACCCAGUCCUCAAAAGCUUCCUUGAUGAGUGAAACCAAAAGCACUAAACUAAGUGGAACCACAUUGGUGACAGGGUGGACUGGACUGCGAAGAUACAAGCAUGUAUGAACUAAGAUUUCUAGAAGUAAAGGUGAAGGAAAGCAAAGGAUGACUGAAUCAACUGAUGGACUUGAUAUGCUAAGAAGUGUCUAGCUGUAACAUGAGAAUUCCAUAGGGUGCAUGCAUGAGAGAGAGAGAGAGACCUAAUUGGUGUAGUCGACAAGAUUGAAAUCAUAAGAAAGUAAAGAUUUGCCACCCGUCUGAACUGUCAAAGCAAAAAAAAAAACAAAUGAAUUACAAAAGGUUCCUAUGGUCAAAUUGCGAUAAUACAGAAAGGGAACAUCUAAAUCGGUGUUACAGCUACCAUUGCAAAGUUUCUUUAUUCGAUAUGGAAAAAUGCAUUACAUGUUUAAUGUAUGAAGCCAUUGAAAUACUUUAAUGUACCUUACGUAAAAAACAGUGGAUAAUGAAAUUGCCAGAAUUAUGGUAUCGCAUAAAAUGAAGGUUACAUUGAGCGAAAAGCAUGAUCAGGGCUUUACCAAAUAACAAAAUCAUACUUCUCCUUUUCUCAAUAUAUGGCAUUUUAGGUUUCAUUGAAGACAAGUCUUUGAAAAGGAUUUACUUUGUGUUGUUUUUAAGGCAUGAAAUUUAUAUCACUAGAUUCAUCCUCAAAAGUACUUAAUGUGGAUUCAUAUCAUAUAAAUCACAUAUUAAUGAAGUAAUUCUUGGUCAAAGUCUUGUAUUAACGAAACCUAAUAUGUCCUGUAUUGACAAAAUGAGGGAGUAUAUUAUCUAACAGUGCAUGUAUACAGGCACGAUACUGGUAGCGCGUAUUACAAGCAAGGUAUCUUAAAAACAUUGCAACACAGUGCCAGACCAGGUAAGCAACUAAGCAUCUCAUGUAUCCACUAUUUUAAGGGAAGUUGAUCCAGAGUGAGGAAAUAAACAUUUUUAAGGAGAUAUAUCAAUUUGCAAUGUGAAAAUGAUACGGAGUAGUAUAAUCAUUUCACUGUGAUAACAAAUACUCCCUCCGUUCUAAAUACUUGUCGCUGUUUUAGUGCAAACUAAAACAGCGACAAGUAUUUAGGAACAGAGGGAGUAACUUCCAUUUACCGUUAGACAUGAUACAAAAUAAUAUGUUGAAAAAAAAUCUAGCCAAAAACUAAAAAACAAACAGAAAAUCUGCAUUAAACGAUGACAAACCCAGCAGGUAUGUUGAUUAACAAAAUAUGUAUGAACAAAAAACAACGCAUCAAUACCUGUUCAAACAAUCCUUUAGGUAGAAAUGUCAGCACACUGUACUUUGUAGUCGACACAGAAUUUCCCUGGAAAUGUAGAAUGAGAAUGUUAAAGAACUAAUUCUAGCAGAAAAACAAAGUAGCGCUCUGCAUUAGAAUCGCGAUGGUCUGAUACCCAACAUGAGGGAGAUUCUGAAACUAAACAGAAGAGCUAAUUGCAACUAGAAGCAUGAAAAAAGUAUAGCUUGAUCUUUUUACAACAUCAAGUCUGAAUACAUUCAAGCAUUUACACUAACUUGGAACAAAAUGUGGGUGUCAAAGAAAAUGCAUGAAUACACCUACUUACAAUAAAGCACCAAUUUUGCAGUGAUUGGACAAACUAUGGUUAAAAUACUUAAUAAUAGAGUUCUACGUAUUUGGAGGCAUAAAACGCAUUGCAGUUGGAGCAGUGGCAUUAUCAUGUUAGUCAGUCUAACAUGGCAGUGAAUGACGUGAAUUUUUUGCUAGUUUAGACCUCUGGCCAGCGCAAUUGACAAAAAUGCCCCCCUCUCAAAACUAAUGCCAAAAAUGGUCUGGCAGAAGGCCCGAAAGGCGCCACAUUUCAUUUUUCGCCAUCUGAGCUGCGCAUGCAAACAUUCCGACAACCUGAAAGGCGGAAAGGCCGUUCCGCCUACUGCAUUUGAUGAAUGCACCUGACAAGGGCGGAAGGUGAACUGGGCCCUGCAGAUGGAAGCAAUUUCCACAUUUGUUACAGACCUGGAAUCUUUUUUUUUGUUGGAGUCGACGGACCAUGUAUGUGCGGAUGCAUAGGAAUCGGCAAGCAGCCUAGCUGCUAGUUCACGGGCACGUUUUACAUUUUCUUUCCUCAGGUUUGGCUAGUGCUACCACGUUGAUACUAAUCAACGCUUCUUGUGAAUGGGCUUAGUUGCUUCUACUAGUCGUGCGAGCGUUAAUCUUUUCUCUGUGCGCCUGCAUGUGCGGGCGUGGGAAUCGGGUCAGGUCCCUGCAGACAGCACGCCUGGCUGCACUGGGCCUGCUUCAGCUUCCGCCCCUGAAAAUUCACUUUCGUCCAUUUCAACUGGAAACAAGUAGGCUCCACCUGUCCUGUUGGCGGAAAGUUCAUUCCUCCUACCCAGUGGCCACUGGGUCAGUUGCUGGGCUUUCCACCACGUCAUUUUUCAAAUUAUAUUUCAGAUGGAGCUAUUUUUGCCAAUUCCGUUUGACAAGGGGCUACAAGAGCAAAGAAAUUGAAUGACAUAGCAAGCAAUCAAUUUCCCCUUAUAGGUAAAUAAUAAACAGCUUUGCUUCAGCUUACUGUCAUCAGCUGGUGGCUGACUGCCCUGACCAAACACAAGUUCAGUAAUCUACACAGCAAGCGGCACACAGGUGCAGCUAAGCACAUGGAUGAACAGAAUAUUCCAGCCAUUGAGGCUCAGCUCUCGAAGCUUAAUGCCAGGUGGCAUCUACAUUGUAUUGCAGCCCGUAGCACCCUGAUUGACUAGUAACCCAACAAUGAGACAAGCUCUAAUCCACCCAAUGACCUCACAGUUGGCAAGAAAUGCAGCCCUUAGUGACACGCACCACCCUACAUAACUUUCUCGUGGACUAAUCAGUAUGAAUCAUAUAAACCCUCUGCAAGCUGCAGUGAAAUAAAACUACUACUACUGAACUAGCUAUUGUCCCAGAUGGCCAUCUCCAACCCAACCGCCCAAGCAUGAAACAAGGGGCCAGUUACGAGAUCUAGGCCUACAGACCCCUAGACCUUGAGACAACCGACCUGUUGAUCAUCCGAAUUAGAGGAGGAGGUGCACACCCGUACCUUGUACCCGACCGGCGCGUUGGCUUCGCGGUCGUUGCAGUAGAUGGUGCGCACGGUGGGUGCCUGCGGCUGCGGCUGCCGUCGGAGGCUGCCGCCCCCGCCGCCGAGACGCGCCGUCCUGGACGCCUCAGCGCGGCCGGCCUGAGAGGUCCCCCCCCGCGGCGACUGCUCGCCGCCCAGCCGCGCGGUGGCAACCCGCAUCAUCUCCUUUAUGCGCGAGCUCAUCCUGCCCCCCUCAGCGCCAAACCCAGCGCUGGAGGAGCCGGCGGGAGAUCUGGGGAAACCUCACGGUGGAUCGGAGGGGAGACCUAGUCGGAUUUGCGCGGCUUUCUGGUGGAUUUCAGUGCCUCGCUGAGGAGGGGAUUCGAUUUGGGUCACGCGUUCCCGUAUGUGCGUAUUUUUUCCGUGUAAUUUUUUUGUUUUGCCUUUUUCUUUUCCUUUGGCUCCGGGAGAAGAGAAGACAGGAGGGGAAGGAAAAGCGAAGGUCGCGACUUCGCGAGGAAGAAAAUGAAGGGAUUACUGCAGAUCACACCCUUGAUUAUUUUCGAAUAUGGAAAGCUCCAGUAACUGAAGUUUGAAAUUCCAGCCGCGUUUGUCUUUUCCUUCUUCGAGCAAACAACCGUGUUCUUGACUUGUUCUAUGUUUUUGCUGUCCGGAGGACUACCCGAUUUGCAAGUAAAUAAUGGCAUUAAUUUCAUAUAAGCACUUUAGGACACCACACUUGACAUGGUUUUCUACUGACGACGACUAUAUGGUGGCUUUGAUGUUCCAUGAAUAGAUCUUUUUAGCGGUGUUUCAAGUUCAGGUGUUAUAACAAAGCAUUACUCUUGACCUAUCUUCCCUUGCGACCAUGCUUUUUGAAUCGCCAAGUCGAGUCGAAUCGCCCCCCAACAGACUUGGAGGUUAGUAUGAUUAGUCAGAAACUAGUCUCGACUAAUCAACCCAAGUCGAGCCUAGUGAUCAGUGAGGUUUAGGGAGCUCUAGCAGGGAGCAUUAGAGGAAAGGAGUGAAUUGCAGUAGAGGGGAAGCACGAGGGAACAGUUUUUGUGGUGCUGGAGCUUGAAGAAGAGGUUCAUGGCGGCUAGGAUCUAGGAGUCGAUAAACUUAGAACGCCCGUGUUGAGGCAAACGCGUUGAGGAAGACGACUUCAAAGGUGGUUGGCUCAUUAUCAGGAUAGGUGCGUGCCUGGCAGCCCAUAAAGGCCUAUUAGAAAACCCUAACUCCCCCCUCCCCCCCCCCCCCACACACACAUUGCCUUCUUCUACACCACACACGCACCAAUGGCGGCCAUCUUCUUCCCCUUCCCUGCUGCUCCCCAUGCCUUCUCUCCCUCCCCGAAAAGAAAUAUCUUCCGAAAAUUCUUCUCUUCGAGUCAAGUUGAGGGGCUCGCGGCGUUCCUAGUCACGGCGGCUAGUCGGAGAAGUCGCGGUUCUAGCUGACGAGUCGCGCGACUUGCUCUGCUAGUCGAGUCGCGGCUGCAAGCCGCCAUCAUUGUGCUGGCUCGGCGACUAGUUGGCGAUUCAAAAACCAUGCUUGCGUCUUAUAAUUUUGUUUCCUCUUAGAUUUUUUUCAAUUAUGUAUGGAACUCUUUUAAGCUUGGCUAACAUAUUGGGUCAAUUUGUCUCCCAUUGAAAAAAAAACAAUUUCCUAUAAAAAAUAAAGUAUCCACAAAACAAUAUGCAUAGCGCAGUUGUUUUCAAAGUUGUGGAUGAAACUUUGUGUUGUACAGGCAACCACUUAAUAACUUGUUCGGUUGUAGAAUUCCCCGCAUGUAUUGAAGAGGAUUAAGAGAGAUCUAAGGAAAAUUGAUCUGCAAUUCGAUCAUUCCCUCUUAAUCCCCAUCGGAGUGGAAUCAACCGAACGGGGCUAAUGUGGACCAUAUCACCUUGAGGACUCCAUUCUUCUUUUAUGGCAACGUUGCAUGGACCUUGAUAUGAACGCACGUGCCUGCAAUCUCUAUUAUUUUUUCGUAAAUAGCAACUGUCCUUUCUGUAUCUUGUAAUAUGUUUUCUACAAUUUUAUUUGGGAUAUUUCGUCAAGAACCCAAAUCGAUUACAUUUUCCACUUUGGCGAAUGAGUCAAGAUUCUCCAUGUGUUCCAGCGAGGCAACUGCGAGCUACACAUGUAUGGUGAAACAAGCCUCGCAACUUCGUAAGUAACUCCAAAACUACAUCAGCACGUCUCUUGAACUUUGGAAACACACAGACGUGUUCCACGACCGUGAGGCGACGGAGUUAACGGGGCAGCGUUGCCGGAAAGACAAGAGUACCGUAACAAGGCCCAGACUGGGCUGCAUCGGCGUUCUGCCUCUAUUACAAGCGAGAGAUGUUGAACCGGCCAAGGUUAGGCAAGGCAGUCAGCGGGAGGAUUUUUUUUUUUUUGUUGUUGGUUUUGAAGAGGCGCGGGAGGAGAAGAACUUGCUUGACCAGCCCACAAGAUCGUGAACCGGUAUGACAUUGACAUUUUAUUUAGGGCCAGUAACGUGUAAUUAGAAGUACUAGCUUACAUCUCUUCCUUUUUGAACCGUCAGAUCUGCAACCAUAUCAUCUCUCCCCUUUGUCCUCUUCGCUAUGCCGAUUUUAGUGAAACGCCGCUGCCAAAUCUUCACAGGAUUGUGAACCGGCAGCAGCUUCGACCCUUCAAUAUUAUUAUUACAGCUAAAUAAAAGACUGAAAUUAUAGGUGAGGUCCUUUGUUCUAAUCGCCCAAGCGAGCAGAAGCCAAGAGAUUACGUGCAAGCAUAGCAUGGCCAUGUUCGCCAACUCAUGACAUAGUGGCACAGGGACUAACCACCUGGAUUACAUGGCUAGCUUCCAUAUAUGUGCAACAAAAUAUUGGUACCAGGCAGCCAUCUGUGCCACCAACCAUAAACUCCCUGAUCCCAAAAAAUACAAAAUACCAAGAGUUUCCACCCACAUCAGUACAAGUGCACAACAGUUUAAGAGACAAGCCAAGGAUCAUUCCCAGUUUGUGGGAAUAAAUAAGAGUCCGCAGCAAACAGAAAACUCAAAAUCGCUGGCAAAGUUAGGAUGUGGAAAAAAGAAAGGCUUAAAAUGAUCUAGCCAUGGCGUCAGAAUCUAUUAUCAAUGUUUCUCUCUCAAGGAUUUCCCUUCUAUAUAAAGUAUAAUAUUACAAAGGGGCUGCUUAAAUAUCAUGGACUCCUGGAAUGUAAAGAGGGUAAUAAUCAACACUACAUGAGCCUCCUUUUUCCUGAGGCUGCUUCCUAAGACUGACUGACUGCUUCCCCGAGGAUCCACAUACACCCUCCCCUCUCCUCAAGUUCCACCUCCCACCAUGGAAGUUAAACCCCCACCAUGGAUCCGAUGCUAACCAACUGUACGCGACCUGGAGAAAGUCAGUCAGCUUGGUGGUUCAAUCAAGACAGAGCAUCACGAUAUUGCCCAAAUGGUAUAAUUGGCAGGAUCAAUAAGUAGUUUAUGCUCGCAGCAAGAUCCAAAAGAACCAAUCUACCAUGACUAAUGUAUGACAAGAAUGAUGUCUUAUGUCUACUUUCAGAUACACUAUGGUCCAGGUGAAACAAUAUUUUAAAGUUUAGUAAUUACUGGCAGUAGUAGACAGACCACAGAAGUGUAAAGAUAUUUGCACACAUGACCUUUUAAUCCAAGGCUAACCCAACCUUGUAAGCUACGUGCUGUUUGUGCUAACGCUGCUGCUUGAAUGCAAUUAGACAGUGGUGAUGUCCUUGUUAGUCUGUUACAUACCUAAGGCAUCACCUCCUGAUUCUAGGUUUGCACCGGAACUCUGCUAAGAGCGCUAUGUGAUCUGAUGACCAUUCAGGUGAAGGAAGAGCAGUGUCUUUUCUUAAGCUCUCCUCAUCCAGAAGUUCCAACAAAGACUCCACGGUCAACGAAUCCGCUGAAACAAUAAAGGAAACAUGAUCAACUGACCAUAAUCAAACAUAUCACAAUACUACAAGCUGAUUCUGAAGCAAUUCCCAGAAGUCUAAAUACAGCAUACAGGUCAGGUACCUACCUGUGUAAAAUAUAUAAUCAACAGUUCCAGUGAAAUCCCUUGUGCAAUUUGUGAAAAGUGGUUCAUUUGUUCCUGGAUCCAUCCUCCUUCGCUGGUGCUCUAAAUCAUAGCCAACACCUACCAUUCUUGCAAAUGAAGAAUAUGCACUGACCUGCAAACAAGUAAACAUUGGUCAGAAUUUUAAAGGAAGAACAAGAUAGACAAGCUUGAUAGUUUUACUGUACCAGAGGAAGCUGGUGCGUCAACUUGCUCACGGGGCGUAAAAUUGAAAGUGGGUCUAUGGCCAGAUCUGGAUGCAAUUGAUCAACUUUGCCCACCGCAAGAAGCCCAUGUGGAGUACUGAAAGACAAAAGGAAGCACUUAGAGAUUUAAAGUUAGAAAAAACAAGUAAACCUGAAAAAUAUUGCUCCAAUAGAAUCUUGACAUGCACCUCCCCGGGAUUGAAUUGAAAUCCCCACAGACCAACAUUGGAAUGUCUGCACUGUUGGCUAUUUUCUCCAAUCCUUUUAGUAGUGUUUGAACCUGCAAAAAACAUACUUACUUUCGAUCUGAAUUUUUCAGAUGUUGCAGAAUGCUAGCCUACAGAGAAUGUGACAAUACUGACCUCCCAUAGUUUCACAUCUUUGAGGUCUUGGUGGACAUUUACAUGUGUAUUGGCCUGAAAUUUGAGAUCAUUUAAAAGAAUGAGACCUCCAUGACUCCAAGUAGCAUAAGCCUAGGCCGUAUGAACAAUGGGAAAUCUGUAGUAAAGUUGGCCUCAAAAUCUAGAGUCUAGAGAGCCAAGUCCCAAUCAUCCGCCAUUAACAUAUAGAUGUUUCCGUGCAUCUUAUGCUACUAAGGUCAUCCUACACAGAUAUAUGUUUCACUUCAUUCCUAAAUGUUGUGAGCAAAGAAGGAAAAGAAUCCAUAUGUUGUUCUGCACUAUGCUGCUAGCAGUUCAAUAGCUAAACAUACGGGAAAGUCCACUUUUGGCCCCUUAACUAUUGCCUCAGAUCAAAAUCAUCUAAUUUGCACCCUCAACUAUCAAAAGCAUCCAAGUUACAUCUGAAGGCAAUAUUUGUUAGAGGCUUUGUGUGAUGUGGCAUCCAUGUCAACGUGUUUUGCCACAUCAAUCGCUGCUGGGCAGUAGGGCCCACAUAUCAUGGCUGCCGUGCCCCUUCUUUCUUUAUAAUUCUUCCUCCUUAGCCAUGCCAUGGCCUCCUCUGUAGGCUAUAGCUUCCACUGCUGCUGCUACAGAUAACCCAUGUUUGACGUUGCAUAACAUCUUCUGAUUUAGAGAGGGGUAUCCUGACAGACAUGUACCAGUCUCCGCAAACCGCUGCACGGCUGCAUCCUGAGGGGAAUGGACAAAGAGAGGAUUAGAGAGGAAGGCUGAGGAGGGAGGCGUUUAGGGCGACUCCAACACGGCCACCCAAAUCGGACACAAAAAGUGUGUCCGUUUGGGUCUGCUGGUGCCCCUAACACGGUCACCCAUUUGGUCCGUUUUAUUAUUUAGUAUUGGCCACGGAUAGGCGGGCCAGGGCAAGGACAAGGGAGGACAAGCGCAGUGUCCACCCGCUGUCCGCCCAGACACAAACCCGGUCAGAUUUGGGUCGGCAAUGGGUUGAGCUGGACAGAAAAGCAGACAGCCGCCACACCGGACGAAAUGGGUCGCCGCGUUGGAGUCACCCUUAAUGCUAAGCUGGGAAAGAGGAAGGGAACAGAAAUAAGAGGAUGAGGACAAGGGAGGGAGAAAAGGGUGCUUCCAAAAAAUCAAUCCCAGGCAUGUGGGGCCUACUGCCCAGUGGAGAAUGAGAUGUCAAAGUUGCUGAUUUGGCGGCUACAUACAGAAUAUCACUCAUGAAACCAGCUUCUGGUCCUAUCGAACGGUUUCAUGAGUUGAUGGUUCAAUUUAGACCAGGCAAAAGUUGAGGGAUCAUAAUUAGGCUUUUCCAAACAUAAAUGAAUGUCAUGCUGUAAAAGUAGUGUUCGUCAUCCAGUAAACUGGUUCGAAUAUCCAACAAGCGCACAACUACUUUAUACACAUCUAAAGAAAGAACAGCUAUUUACAUACCACACAAAGGAGCUGCCUUUUACCAGGAGUUUCAGUUCCUUGGUUGCCAAAUUUUGCUUCUAAAACCGCAAUCAGCGCAAUAUUAUCCUUCAAAGCAAAUAGAACGUGUGAUAAAUAACAUCACUUUUUUUUGCGAAAAGUGAUAAAUAACAUCACUGUAGCAUACAUUAUUUCUUUUGAAGUUAAUCUUACUUUAAUCAGUCGACUUAAAGCCACUCUUUUCUGGGAAGCUGGAAUAAUAGCUUCUGUUAAAGACUGUGCAGCCUUAUUGAACUCAACCUACACAAGCAAGUACAAGUAUUAGAUAGCUGCAAAUAUCAAGCUGCUGCAAACCUGCAGUACAGGUACCUCGUAUUUUUUGACAUGUGAAAAUCUAUCUCUACGGAAGAAAGUAGCACAGCCAUCAAUGGCAUUAGGAACUCCAGCAUACACCUGUGACAACAGUAAAGUAAAAUCAAACAAGAGACAAAAGGUAUUAAACCAAAAUAUGAAGGAAAAAAUCAACCCAAAGAUACCUCUGUUGUCCGUUUCUUGUAAAGCGCCUGAUACCCAUGUUUAUCAAACUCAGGAGCAAAAAAAUCCUCAAAGUGGUUCAAUUGUACCUGAAAACAGUAGGACUUGGCUUAAUUCCCUCCUGUUACAAUCUUCGGUCACUCUUCGUUUUUAUUGUAAGCCGCUUCAGUAAACUCUUCAUAAUAUAUAUGCAGACAAUAUUCGUGAAAGUUUAAACAGCAAGCAAACUAUCAUAAAUUCAUAAUCCAACAUCACUGAAAAGUGAAAACAAUCAAACAAAGUGAUGGCACAAAUAUGGAAACGAACAGCCCAGCAGUAUAUGAAAGAUUGUAGGUUGAUGAACAGGGUUCCGGCAUUAAAGUUUACCGAGUCGCAAAAAUUAUAUGAUCAACCAAAUGAGACAUGCUCGGUUCCUAAAACAAAUAUAUGAGAUGAAAAGCUGAAAAUAGGUCACCAAAAUAAAUAAAUUCAGAAGAUAGCAAACAUAUGAUACCUCCUGAAGACAUAUAAUAUCAGCAUGAUAACCAAUAAUUUCGCGCAUCAAAUUUUGUCUUCUGUAAGUCCAUGAAAGUGCCCACGUUGGGCAGUAGCUAUAUGCAUCAGAUGUAGCAUAUGCAUCAGCAAGAAUAUUAUAGGACAGCACCGUGAAUGUCCCAAAAGAAGAAGUCUGGCUGUCUAUAUCUGAGUGACCCAAAACAUCUCCAUUCACUUGGAUAAGGCGGCGUGGAGUAGGAGUUGGUGCUGGAAUCACACGUGAUGUCAUAAUUGAAGUUGGAGACCCCGCAGGUACUUUCUUUUCCGUAUCCACCGCUGCACAUUCAAAUCUUAGAACAUGCCCAAUAUCAUCAGCAGUUGGUGUAUACGUCUGCGAGCGUCCCACUUCAAACCAUGUUUCACCCGAGUUCUUAUCAGUGCCUGAGGGAUACAAGGGAACAGGUCCAUUAUUAACUCCAGGGCUCUGUCCAAGAUUUGACAUUGAGCCAGACCCAGAACUUAGAAUCCCAGAACUACCGCUGCCAAAUCUACCAAAUAGCUCCUCCUCUUCAGCUCCAUUUUCAUUUAAAGCACUACUAGCUCGCUCAUGCAAAACCCUGUGGUGCUGCCAUGCAUCAGAGAAGCACUUAGCAGAACAAUGGUAGCUCUUAGCAGCAGGUAUUUUUGACUUGAGACAACCUAAGCACUGAAUUGUUGCUUGCUCCAUCGGAUGUACACUGCAGAUAGUAACUUUUCGAUCACUCUGUAUGCGAUACCUUCGAGCGAAAAGUCAAAUCAGUAUAACCAUGUGCUACUAGAUACAGAAAAAGUUUAGAAGAACAUGAUUGAAUAUAGUAACUACAAGAAAGGACACCUAAAUUGCCAAUGUUUUAGCAUGUAUGAGAUCCAGGAAAACUUGCUAUCAGCAUCUUGGAAGUCCAUUAUUCAGAGACAUUAGACUCACAACACUUCCAUUAUAAGCAUAGUAUGAAUAAGGCAAAAUGAAGCAGGUUGCCAAGAUGUCGCAAAAAAAAAGAAGCAAAUUACAAGUUUGCUUGUCAUGAGUUGCUGCUGCUGUUGUUUUUUCUUGAUUUUAGUCCCUCAACCGGCUAACUCGUGAUCAUUCAUCUCUUGCUUUCUUUACCAGAUCAACCAUGCAACUGAUUUCUUUAGCGGACCAGGCAAUAUAUGUAAUAAGCAAAAUUCUACAGUUUAGAUCAGAGAUUCAGAGGACUAUUGCAGGCUCUCAUAUAUCAUCAUUAGGGCAUGACGACCAGACAAGGAAGUUGCUGUGUAUAUUAUUAUUCCUAGAAGAAAAACAUUUAAGUACUGUUCAAGGAGGCGACCAACUAUAGCCCAGUGCCCACCCCAUCAAUCGAUUAGUGUCUUUCAGAACACUUCAUUUCAACAAUGUGUCUAUAAAUGGCCACACUUACUAUACUCAAACCUCAAACCUUAAAAGUGAAUAAAGAUGCACAUAUCACAUGAGAUUCUAUCAAGCUAAUGACUGAAAAGCAACACAAUGAAAAUAUAAAAAACUAUAGAAUUGAAGGACCAAAACCAAUGAAACUGCAUGAGUGUUAGUGGGACCAAGCACCACCAUUUCGAAAAGUUCUAAGGUCUAAAGUCUCAGCAAUAAAUGCUAUUUAAACCUACAUGACAUUAAAAAAACGGAUGUGAUAAAACAAAUAAAUAUUCACGAACAUGAUCAAUCAUUCAGAGCGGGAUUCUAAAAUUGAUCACUGAAAUUGUUCGGCCACCCAGCUAUUAGUGAUUAUACAGCCGAGCUAGCUCAUUGCAGUGGGUGGCAUAACCAGCGGUUACAAGUUCUUUUCUCUCAUAUUUGCCUCUCCAUUUUUCAUUUUUUUAUUUCCAAAUAGAUCUACAAUGUUAUUUGAAUUUUAAAAAUAAUAGGUAGGGCACUCCUUACAUACAUGACCUCCUAGGCCAUUUAAAACAAAUAUGCAUUGUUUGGGGUUUUUUAUAUAACAUAAAGUAAGUUAACUAUGACACACUGCCAAAAUAUUUUUGCAUAAAAAACAUUAAAUUUGAUAUAGCACAGAAAGAACGUGGAUAUCCAGCAAGAGAUUAAAGAAGGCAAAGUGGGGCAGGCAGUCAGCAAAACAAAACUAGUGGAUCACGAGUUUCAAACUUUUACUAGCUUUAAGCAACUGAAAUAACUUGCCACUGAACCUAGUGAGCCAACAACUCUAACGUGUAAUAGCAAACAAGUAAUAAUUCUUUUGAAGCUCCAGAAUAAUCAAAACUGAGUCUAGAAUCAAGCUAGAAUGCCCAUUUGAGUUCACUGGUGAUGUUAGAGUGAUACUUAGUUCAAGGAGUAUAUCCAGAUACCCCAAUCAAAAAAAUCAUCUGAAGCCAUGCGAACAAACUGAUGGCACUUCUAGAAUAGUGUCUUUCCACAAAAUUAGUUAGAUAAGCCUAUGUAAUCCCAAAAUUUAUAAAAUGCUCCCGUUCCAUCCAAGAUGAACGUAAACAUUCCUGCACAACGAUUGGCAACAAUCCUCAACCCAACAGCCUUCAUCACCAUCCUAUGAUGCUAUCUAACACUCAAUAGUUCUAGCAAAACCAAAAUCAGAUGGUCUGUUUUGCUCAAUGAAUUACUUAUUAUCAUUACCAACCCGUGUGGCAGGUUGAUAUGGCAUAGACUAAAUAGUAUGAUUCAUAAACAGGCUUAAAAUAAUGCAAUACUGAGUUCUUUACCAAAUCAAGCAUUGGCAUUUCAUGUUCCCUGGGUUUCCAUUCGUUCCAAAAACAAACAACUGUCUUGCUAGAGAAAAUCAUGCUCAGAAUUCAUAUAGUUGUGCUUCAUUUAUGCAAGAAUCAAGACGAUUCAUGAGUUUAGCAAGUAGUUAAGCAUCUAGCAAACUGAUUGAUACUUAAAGCCCCCAUUUUCUUUUUUUCUUUUUUGUCAAAAUUCACUUGUAGCAACGCACAAGCGGAACUAAGCAUUCGAAAGUGUAUAUCCUAUUGAACCAAAAGUUGCAAUCACGAGCUGCUCACUCACCAUCUGUAUCGCAUGAAGUGGCCAUCAACAGGCGCGGCCUCAGGCACGUCGUCGGUGGAGAUUACACCGUUGGGCAGCCGCAGCAGCACGUACGGGGUGAUUUCGCACCCCACGAUCGGGAUCUCCGACGGCAGGUGCACCCGCACCACGCUCAGCAUCCUCCACUCCUGCUCCCCUCCCCUGCUCUCCUCUGCCCAGCCCAGGGGCGGAUCUAGAUGGUGUGCCGGGUGGGCACCGGCACACCCAAAAUUUGUGGACGCUGCGAGGACGGCGGAAGGCCAGGGCGACGUCGGGAGAGGAGGGGAGCGCCGCCGUCAAGGGGACCGGGAGAGCGAGACAGGGUUAGGGUUGGUUGCCUGAGGGUAUUUUUGGGCAUUUCGAAAAUCUAGAGUUGUGUCCAGCGCAUUUUUUUUCUAAACUAGUAUUGCGUAAGCGGGACGGAGUGGUAAUGUUUGUGCAAGACAAGAGAGAGCCGGAGAGGAUGACAUGUUUUUUUUAACGAUAAUAUUAAAAACUAGUCAAAUGUCCAUGGGACAAACUCAUAUGCGAUACUCACCGCAUUUGUAGUUAUAGAUUAAUACCUUUUCAUAGCAGUUUGCAGAGAUGGAACCAUGAAAGGCGUUGCAGACGUAUAAUUCACUCGCUAAAAAAUCCAUAUUGAGAAAAUAAUUAUGUACUUGAUAGACUCGGUCUCACGAAGUUCUGGUAAGAAGCCGGUUCGGAGGGACAAAGUUCCAGAAAGAUGGCCGCAAUGUCACGCACGACCAGGCGAAUUUGUGAUAGUUUUUUUGUUAUGAAAAAGCAAAGUAUAUGUGAUCGGCAUGCGACCUUGUGGAUUGGGGUUGAAAGUGUUGGACUGCAGUGUAUACCUUCAACCCACCACGUCUUGAUUUAAAGGCCAAAUCAACGUAGGAUUCGGACUCCUUAACUAAAUACGAUUAGGAUUCCCUAUCUAUGUCGGAUUUGGUCUCCUAUUCUGUGAUUGGCAAUUGGGAAUUUAGACAUUAAUCCAUAGCUUCUCCAACUCUUUAGUGAUUGAACGUAACGGUUGGUACAAGCUAGGCUGGGCGCGAUGGGCUGAGGCUGAGGCAAACCAACCAUGGACCUCGUACCGUUUAGAUUGAAAAAAGGACAUGUUUUUUUUUGUUUAUCGAUCAGGACGGACAGGCGCACGCACGAGGGUGAGUUGGAGGUUCAGAUCGGUUGGGCUUAGUGGAAGUUUUAAUGAAAAAGGCCUACGGACGUUCGCCAUCACCACCGAUUGUAAUAUAAUAGACAUUGUAGAUUAGUUAUGAUUUGGACCACCGGGCACCGGAACCCAAGCUGCUCAAUUUUGGCAAAAUUUGCAGAAAGCAAACUCAAACCCGAUGGCUCCUAUGUAGAUGGGAGUGAACUCAGAGUAUUCUCAUCGUGUUGCUACAAAGCUUUUCUUUGAUGAUGUUCCCUCCGUUGUGUUUCCCUUGCGUGCUCAAGGACACAAUGUUGUGAUUGAGGAAAUUGUUGAUGACCCUAGCUCUGCCAUCUUCCGUCCGUAAGUGAGGGCACAAGCAGCGCGUUGCUACUCCAGAAGUAACUUCAGGUCUGUGCCAUAGUUCAUGCUCUACCAUGUUUAGAGGAUUCAAGUCCUAGCUUGUUUCUGAUGUGCAGAAGAAACAGUCCAAGUGUCGAUGUUAUACAUUGUCAGAAUAUGAUUCGGGAUAGCACACGACCAAGGAUUACUACUACUCUUGAUGGCAACAGUCUACGUGUUUAUCAUUUGUUGGAACUCCAAGCACAAAGUGAUGUAACAAAGGGUGUUUUCCCCCACAAGUGUUUUACCCCCAACAAGCACCACAAUGGUUGUCAAUCACAAUGAUCACUAUACAGAAUCACUUAUUUCUGACGCGUUAAAAAACUUCUAGUCUGACGCAAAUGGGACGUGUCACUAAUCAAGUGUCAAAGAUGACUCGGGAACUUCUGACGUGUCAACAAGCGUCAGAAGUAGGAAACCCUAAUGACGCUUCUUGUCGAUUGUUAUUAGAGACAAGUAUCCUCAUGUCGGGUGAAGGCCAUGUUUGUUUGAGCUUCUGCUUCAGCUUUUGGUGGUUCUAGCUCUCUAAAAAGCACUGCUUCCGUUUACACAUGAAGCUGAGAAGCACGUCGUGAGGUGCUUCCCUCCAGAAGCUGCAGGAAGCACCUCCAGACGUGCUUCUCAGCUUCAUGUGUAAACGGGAGAAAUGCUUUUUAGAGGGCUAGAAGCAGCAAAAGCUGAAGAAAAAGAAAAAGCCCAAACAAACAGGGCCGAAGAUGAGUAAGAAGAUAGAGGGGCCUCACGGUGAUAUCUACUCGUGUAAGAUAGAGAACUCGGCGAAAGACAAGGGUUUAUACCGGUUUGACUUGCUCCUUUUCGUGAAAGCAAGCCUACGUCAUGUUGGUAAUCUAAUAUUUGUGUAUGAUAUUACAAGGUGUGUUCUGCCCAUCGAGGGCGCCUAGCCCGCUUUAUAUAGUCAAACAACUAGGGUUUCGGGUAGAGCCGGGUACAACUUUUACAUGGACUGUACCUUCCUAAACUAGUUAGGAUUCUUCCUUUACAAGAUAUCUACAACUAGUAUUUCCUAUUACCUGAACUAGGCUUCCUUCUUCAAUACGACAACUUCCUUGACCGAGUGAUAGGGGAUGUCUGGCUUGUGCGCUGAGUCGACUUUCUCUGUUCAGUCGUCUCUCAGCUACCCGGCUAGAAUAUCCUCGUCAUUAGCCCCGAGUACAAUGUGGAUAGGGGGGAGCUGAAUAAUGCCAUCGUCGUCAAUCUCGAAUCUUUCUCGUUUCAUGUGCUUUUCUUGAGUUGCUUCUUCUUGAUUUUAUUCCGACCUCAAAUCCACAAUGUACUUCUCUAUGACAGCUUGAGGUUCGAGCUCAUGGCUUCUUAUGCAUAAAGUUCAGCUAUAAGAGCAAACCAGCUUCUAUGUGGCAUGUGUUAGCAUUGCAGCGAUAUUAGCUCCUGUUUUGAUUUGUGUUUUUUCCUUAGCUGUAGCGUUGCUUUGAAUUAAUUAGCAACUACGUCGUGCAUGUAAAAAAAAGUGAGUUCCAACAAAUCUCUGACGUGCGCUAGAACAAGAGGUCAGUGAGCAUCAAAAGUAUACUGACGUGGCGACACAAGGAAGAGCUAGGAAAUUCCUCGUGAACAAAGUUGACGCUUCCACAAAGGAAAGAGUCACAUCAGCUAGAAUCUCCUUCGACGCUUACGAAGUAAGGAAGCGUCAGUAGAAAUGAAGAGUCAGAAGUGUGGAAGUUCUCCUACGCUUCUCCGAGGUAGGUGUCAGAAAUAUCUUAUUGACGCUGCCUCGUGGAUGCUACCUAUGACAGUCCUUAUAAGGAGCCGCAGAGAUAAGGAUUUGCGCUGACGCUUUUUAGUUUUGUGUCAGUGGGGAGCUUGCAAGAGUAAAGUCUAUAGUAGUGAGUGUAAGGCUAAACUUUAAAUAAACAAAUAAUAACUUUAAGUAAACUAAUGCAAAACAAUAAUUUAAACUAACUAGAAGAUGCAAUAACUAUAUAAUAAAUACUACUACUUAUUAUGCAACUAAAUAACCAAGAGAGAAUGUUUAAAUGGCUUUUUACAAGAUAUCUAAAAAAAAGCAAUUAAAUAAAUGCAAAAUAAUUGUAACAGAGGUGUUUCUUAUGAUAUUAAAGAGGACCAGGAUACUCUUUGCGGCAUGAAUAUAGCACAUAGGACAAGUUCAUUUACUUUGCAAUGUUUUUAUGAAGUGAAUGAUAAGCAUUCAUAUGGACAUCACGUCCUAAUAUUGAGAAUAUGCAAAAUAUCUCACUAAUGCUCCCUUGGUAAGUGACUCAUCAAACUAGAUUAUUGCUUUAGGUACUUUGACAUGAUGUUGAACUUUAAUGCAACUUUGAGCAAGCAAGACCACCAUUGUUGUCAUUUGGUAGCAUAAUGCGUAUUCAUUUAUCCCUAGCGGGUCAAAUCACUGAAAGGUGAAAAUCAUAGUGGUUCCCAAAAUUUUUGUCACUAUCCGGUUGCCACUACCAAUUGCUCUAUCUAAUACACACAUCCCCACACAUGCACAUGUAAACUAGUAUGAUUAGUACAAGUAAGCAAGAAGGGAUAGACAUAUGCAUCUAUCAAUACAUCAAAACACAAUCCAAACAUUGCAAACUCAUGACUCAUCUCAUAACAAAAGGUUCACCAAUAAAAAAUAUAACGAUGAUCAUAAUCAUGAUAGGAAACUCGUAUGAUUCUAUUACAACCCAUAGCCCAGCGAGGACUACUCCCUCAUCAUAUUGGUGAUGAUAGAGAAUAUGUUCAAGGAGAAGGAGAGGCGACCGAUGGUAUUUUCCCUUCUAAUCUUGGAUCAAUCUGAUGUUGUUUUUUUUCUUUCCGAGUCGUUGUGCUAUGCAAGCGCAAAGCACGGGGUAUUAAUAAAUGGUUUUAGGUCAAGACGAAUCUUCGGGUGAAAGAAUGCACUUGCGGGCGGCCACUCGGGAUAAAAAACAACCAUGGUGAAUUAUGAUAAUCUAGUUUUUUCGACUACUACCUCUGAUCCUAAAUUGUUGUCGUGGUUUUACUUCAAAUUUGUACUAAAACCACGACAAGAAUUAAGGAUCCGAGAGGUAGUUUUUACCUAUUUUUCAAUUCGGCUUACCUAUUAUUUUCUAAUUUUCUUUGUAUGUUUUGACAAAUUCAGCACACUUCAGCAACCCAAACUGAACAUUAGUCCCGUACAGGAUUCCAGAGUGCGUUGUACGCAUGUGUUAGUAUAUUCCUAAGCAAGCAAGAAAAAAAUAAAAAGAAGCAAAUAGUAGCAACUAUCGGUUGAUCCCGGCCCUGGGCCAGGACAAGAAGGGCGACAGCCCGGGCCCGCCCAAUCCAGGGGACCAGAUCAUAUGUGUAUACGCUAGUAGAGAUACAUGUCCAAAUAUUGAUUAGCAUAAAAGAAAGAGGAAAAAAGCUAGAGGCCCAGCAGAUUGCUCCGCUCCUGGCCAACCCAGGACGUAUCAACGUGCUCGAAAAUUCCCCUUGGCACCCGGUAUCCAGGCCUAUGUGUAUCUCAGCCGACCAAUUUUCCAUCCUACGGCUCCAUCCUGCAGCUCCUGUCGUCCGGCCCGUUUAAGUAUACAAUUUGCUAUUCUCCCGUACAGGCGGUAUUUGCACCGGUUGGCCUGACACAUCCUUUUUUAUAUUGCGUUUCCCAGGCUGGCUGGCCCAAGUCCCACCUCGCGCAUUGCUGGGUGAGCACAAGUCCUUUUCUCCCGCUGCAUACCGUGGCACAGGUCUGCCCUUGAGACAUCGCAUUAAAUUUCCAUCAGUCCCAUUUUUUUGGCCCAAGAUUUCUGGGCAGGCACAGGUCCACGCCAUUGGGGGGGCGGUGGCGCGGCUGGCGAGGCCGACGUCGCGGCUGUCGAGGGUGCCUGCCACGGGCGAUGAGUCACCGAGUCAGGCUUCGGUGCCCAGAGCUGAAAAGCGUGCCGCGGUAGACGAUGUUGGGCGCCUUAAUGCCGUGCUCGGACACGAUUCGGUCGGGGACGAAGCUGUCAGUUCCCGCGCAUAGCUCAUCAAGGCUGUACUCUGUGAUCAUCGGCACAGCACUGUCGUCUUCCCCAGUUUCCCCAUUCUCUAUUUCUCUACACAGGGAAAGCAAACAGCAAGGGGAAGAGCAUCCAUCCUGUAAAGCAACGAGCUGCCGGCGAUGGCCUUCUCCACGACCGCGGAGCAACGCAGCGCCGUCCCCGUGCCUUCGCUGGAUGCCCGCUCGCAGCUCCGUGAUGGACCGCUUCCGCACGAGCACCGCCCGCCCGAACGGGUCGUGCGCGUCGGCAAGCGCGAGGGCCGAGGGACACGUUGAGGUGGCCAAAGGCCGGGUCGCUAGGGAAGAACUCCGAGCUGCAGACCGGGGGCGCGGGGCAGGGACGGAUGUUCGGGCAUCGGCCGGACCUCCUCCGUUGGCAGCUUCCGCAGGCGAGGAAAACUUGAGGGGCAACGGCAGAUAUUUGGGAUUUGACGUGGGUAUUGGUGCUCCGAUCUUUCCAUCAGAUUGAUAACUCUCGAUUUGGGUUGAAGAUGACGUUUGACGAUCCGACUACGGUCUAAAAGACAGCGCCUUAGUAAUCAAUACACCAACUACAGAGAGUUAUUGAUCACGCGGGGCACGAUCAACCUGACCACGAAGGUUUUUAUUCCUGCAAGCAAUCGAAAAACAAGCAAGACCAAGAUAAAUAGUGGAUGCAAUCUGAAAUUGCGAAUAUACUAUAUCAAACCAAUGUCUCAAUGAGACGAUAAGUUGGGAUUUCGAAAGUGGUAAAGCAGGUGGUCUAGCCGACAUAGACGAUUACACGAAGUUGUAGCGAUGGCUAACUUUUAACUAAACAAAACCCAAGUCUCCAUAGGGAGGCUAGUGGGGUAUAUAAAAGAGGAGGGAGAGAGAUUUUCGCCCACCUUGAGUAAGGAGGCCGAAAUCCAAAUCUAUUUCUAACUUUUCUAACAAACUAUAACUCUUUAGGAAACAAAAAAACAGAUCCGUCAUCUUGUUUUGUCUGCCACGGCCAGCACGCGUCGAAUCUCCUUGUGGGGUCAAAUCUGUUGGAAAGGUCUUGUAAUUACCUUUCCAACAAGUACUUGUUUGCUUGAUUUGGACUCUGAAUGCGGUCUGGGUGAUUAAAACAAAUUCGGAUCUCCUGACAGCUCGGACCCGAAUCGGAUUCAACUUUAAUUCGUGAUAUCUUUCACUAGCAAGCUCCGAACCAUGUGCCGUUCGAUUUGUUGGAAAGUAGACUUGAUAGGCUUCACCUUGCAUCUCCCGUUGCAUGCUAUCGCACCUCAUCUUCACUUUGGAUUUGAAAAGCUCGACCAAAUAUCUACAUAAUAAAAUGAUACAAGAUAGUAGCUCUGCCUCUUCAUGCAUAUGGCAUUGAAAACAAAUAGUACUUGACUUCACCUGAUUAUAAAAUGUUAUCGAAUACUCUAGAACUGAGGGUGCCAAAGGUUGUAUCUAUGGUUAGCAUGUCCAUAUCAUCUUCCCUUUCUUGAAACAAAAGCCGUCCUCGGUGUCGUUUGUGCUGAAAAGAGACUGACAAAACAGACAAAGUGUGUGCAUGGGUAUAUGUACAUGUCAUCCAUCUUUAUACAUCUCCUUUCUUGCACAAUUAAUGUUUUAUAAAAAAAUCUCAUGAGAUAAGUAGUCAAACAAUCAUCAUGAAUUACAUUCCAGCAAGAAGAUUGACAAUAUGUUUUGCAUAUAUAAGUGAAACAAUAUCUUAUACUAGUAAAAAGCCCGUGCUUUGCUACGGAAGAAGACUUUCUUUUAAAAACAUGCUAUAGGUUAAUUUUCAAAUAGUCGGCUGACUUGGGCUUGCGGGGCUGCGGCUUGGGCUGAAAGGUGGAGAUGGGGUUGGUGGGCCUGAAGGGGGCUCGGGGUUGCUGGGUUGCUGUGGGAUCGAGGCAGCGGGGAGGUUGAAGGCACGGGAGCAAGGGGAGGCAGUGCCGGCGAGGUGGACGAUGGGAGCAGCACGCGAGGGUGCUGGGCUGCCACGGUGACUGGAGCUUGGCGACAACGUUGGCGGAUUGCAGCAGCGAGGGAGAGGAGAAGAGGGCGCAACGAGUAAUGAAGGCAGGAGCGCCAGAGAGAGGAGGCGGCUAGACAGAGGAGAUCGGGAGGGAGAAAGGAGCUCGAGGGGAAAGAUGAAGGAGCAUAGGGGAUAUCGGGGAGGACCGGCUGCCUGGUUGGGUGGACGGGCAGGACAAGAAAAGGGGACGAGAGCGAGAGGGAUAGGGUUCGAGGAAGCCCGCAGAGGUUAGGGCUCGGGGGUCAGACGGAUGUUUUUCGGGACUGGGGAUAUGCAGUGGCAUAUUGAGCGUAAUUUUAAUGGAGUGACGUACCGCGACACCUGUACCAUCACCACCAACUCCAAUUUAAUAUAUUUGUAUAGAUUUAGUUUGCACCGCUCACCAUUAUACCAUCCCAACACUGGAGAAUAAUAAUUAAUGGUACCCAAAUUAGUUACUACAAGAUGCUGAAAUUUAGAGCAAGUCAAAGCAGUAAUAUUCAAACAAUCGUGUAAACAACUAUUUGGCAAAUAAUCAACACCAAUAUUGGAGAUCAUAUCAAAAUAGUUAAGCAUAUGCAAGAAUUUAUUUUCUCCCAAGAUAGUAAAAUUAUCACAAGUAAUACAAAUUUCAUGUACCAAAAAGUUAUUAUUCACAUCAUGUUCUCCAAUUAGUUGAAUAGUGGAUCCAUGAACAUUAGGAAAAGAUUUUGAAAUUGUUAACUUGGACACUUUUUCCAUUGCAUAUGAUAAAUACAUAUGUGUAUCAAGUGUAAUAUAACACAAAGAAUUAAUAGGUGGAUCCUUAUGAAUCACUCCAUGUCUAAUUAACUCGACACAACCUAAGCCAAAUUUAUCUAUCUCACAUGUUUCUCCCAAAGCAUUAGUUCUGUCCUGACAUGAUUCAUGCUCAUCAAUAUCAAAAUUAAUAUGUGCACUAAAAUCAUUAGAAAAAUUAAUUUCAGCACUAGGUGUACUCAAAUCAGCAUGUAAAUCAACAAUUUCACAUGGUGCAGAAAAUUCACCGAGUAUCUCAUUUAUUUCAUCACAUGUCAUAUUUAGUUCAGGAACACAAUCAUCUUUACCAUUACCUUGUGGUCUCGACUCAUUUGUAGUAGACCUUCACUGUAAUUUCCUCUCAACUUCACGAGCAAGAUUAAGCAAACACAAAAAAGAGUCGUAUUUUCCAUAUUCAAUUAUGUAAGAAAUAUCAAAGUUAAGCCCACAAUAAAACCUAUCCAUUUUUGUUUGUUCGGUUUCAUCUAAACCAGAUCGCAAGGUUAGAAUUUGGAACUCCUGAUAGUAAUCAUCAACAGUUUUAUCAUCUUGUUUCAAACGUCGUACUUUUGCACGCAAGUUACAAGCAUAACUAAAAGGGACAUAUUUUUCUCUCAUGAUUUUCUUCAUAUCAACCCAAGUGUGAGGAAUUUUCUUUUCUCUAACUAUCUCACUCCACCAAGAUAAAGCAGCAAAAGUAAAUUUACUACUAGCAAUUUGGAACUUGCGACUAUCAAGUACAUGGAAGCAUGUGAAUUGUUCAGUUAAAGCUAUCUCCCAAUCUAUAUACGUUUCAGCAUCAUUUUCCCCCUUAAAGAAAGGUACACACAAUUUAAUUGUAUUGGAAGGAUUGUUUCGUACCGUUGCCGUCGCAUUGUCAACAAAAGACGUGGAGGAUGGCCAUGGUGAAAAGCACUCAUCGCGGUCACGGGAUUGCAUCGGUCUAGUUCCCAUGCUUCGUGUAAGUCCUGUCAUUGUUAGUAGAAAACAAGAAACAAAUCACAGUAAUAUGUUCCUAUCAACUAAUAGGAUGUGGCUACAAGUCGUUCAACUCUCAAGCUAAAAAUCAAGUUCUUACAAGUUCUUACCAUGCAACAAGAAGGUGAUGGCCAGCGGCUUGACCAAGCCCCUCCGAGGAUUAAAUGUAUCAAUGCCUCGGUAACAAACCAACCUAGGUGUAGAAUCUGUGUAGCUUGGAAGCUUUUGUGAGUAGCAAGGAAUAGCAAAUAAUCAAACAGCAAUGCAAAGUUGAAAAUAUGCUAAAUAAUGCUAGUCCUAACUGCUGGAGUCGAUAAUAACGAAUUACAGAAAUAAUCUAAGCCUAGAUAGUGAAGAAGGUAGGAUAGAAAGAUCAAAAUAAAGGUAAAACAACUAAAUCUCUAGGAUUUUUCUUUUCUUUUAUUUAUUUAUUUAUUUAUUUUUGUGGCCUUCUGUUUGGCUUCUUAUUCUUUUCUUCUUUUUUUAUUUUUUUAAUCCCAGAAACUCAUGCAAAAGAAGUAAAGACCGGAAAACUGCACGUCGGUCUGUCGAAGAACAGCAAAGGGUGCUGUAAGAAAAUGUCAGAAAAAUAUGGAAAAAUAUAGGUUAGGAGCGUAUCGAAACAAGCUUUCCAGGAAGUGCAAGAUCACUCAAAUCGGAGGCCGGACGAUGGAGAUAACGUAAAAACACCGGCCUGCAGCGAUGCCGGAAACCGGAUGCAGAAACUUGGAAGCUCUGAAAGUCCACCUUACAAACCGAGUUUGAGGGUCAAGGAGUCAGUGCGAUGCCCUGGAUAUUUUCUCGUGCGCUUCGUCAUGAGCUUUCCAGAAAGUACUAGAAGGUCCAAAUCUGAGUUGGUGACCGUUUUACUGAACACGGGUCAAACCCACUCGAAACUAUAAUUCUCCUGAACGUGGAUCUGAAACUGAUUCUUUUUCUCUCUCUUUUUUUUCAUUUUUUUUCCUUUUUUUUCCUUCCUUUUCUUUGCUUUUUUUUCACAACUUUCCGAACAACUUGAUCUCUAAACAAAAUUCGAUCUAUUAUGAAACACUUUCCAAAAGCACUCUCGAUUGGACUCGGACUCGAACCCGGAGAAGGACUCGGUGUAUGACUCGAUGGAAGAUUAUGGCGUGGCGGUGGUGUGGCAGGGAGUUUGGCGGCAGAAAAUUGAGGAAGGAAACCUGCGUCACACGAAGAACAAGAAAACCAAAAGCAAGUUCGAUCUAGUAGAAAAAGUCUGAAAAACGAUCCAAUCUAAUCCAGCAACUCGACACGAUUAAUGCAGCAAAGGUUCAACAAUGCAAAUACUAAUGUGAAAAUUGCAAGGCUCAGAUUGGUUUUUGGGACGAAGGUAAGUAAUCUCUACUUUUUUAUUGUCUUUUUCUGGACUAUAGGUAAAACAUAUCUAAACUAUGGAAAAAUACCACGUGAUGUGGGUCGGGGUGGCCCGAUAUUUCGAUGAGAUUGAUAACUCUCGAUUUGGGUAGGAGGUGACGUUGACGAUCCGACUACGGCCUUGAAAGCAGCGUCUUAGCAAUCGAUACACCAACUCCAGAGGGUUAUUGAUCACGCGGGGGCACGAUCAACCUGACCACAAAGGUCUUUGUUCCUACAAGCAAACGAAGAACAAGCAAGAACAAGAUAAAUAUCGGAUGCAAUCUGAAAUUGCGAAUAUACUAUAUCAAACCAAUGUCUCAACGAGACGAUAAGUUGGGGUUCCGAAAGCGGUAAAGCAGGUGGUCUAGCCGACACACGCGAUUACACGAAGUUGUAGCGAUGGCUAACUUUUAACUAAACAAACCCAAGUCUUCAUAGGGGGGCUAGUGGGGUAUAUAAAGGAGGAGGGAGAGAGAUUUUCGUCCACCUUGAGUAAGGAGGCCGAAAUCCAACUGUAUCUCUAACUUUCCUAACAAACUACAACUCUUUAGGAAACGGAAAAACAGAUCCGUCAGCUUGUUUUGUCCGCCACGGCCAGCACGCGUCGAAUCUCUUGUGGGGCCAGAUCUUUUGGAAAGUUCUUGUAAUUACCUUUCCAACAAGUACUUGUUUGCUUGAUUUGAACUCCGAAUGCGGCCUGGGUUAUUAAAACAAAUUCGGGUCUCCUGACAGCUCGGACCCGAAUCGGAUUCAACUUUAAUUCGUGAUAUCUUUCUCUAGCAAGGUCCGAAUCAUGUGCUGUUCGAUUUGUUGGAAAGUAGACUUGAUAGGCUUCACCUUGCAUCUCCCGUUGCAUGCUAUCGCACCUCAUCUUCACUUUGGACUGGAAAAGCUCGAUCAAAUACUUACAUAAUAAAAUGAUACAAGAUAGUAGCUUUGCCUCUUCAUGCAUAUGACAUUGGAAACAAAUAGUACUUGACUUCACCUGAUUAUAAAUAUUAUCGAAUACUCUAGAAUUGAGGGUGCCAAAGGUCGUAUCCAUGGUUAGCAUGUACAUACCAGGCUUGCAGUACGAUGCCCGGAGCUGGGGGAGAUGGCGCUGCACAUGUCGUAUCUGAAGGAGGCGGCGAUUGAGGUGAAGAAGACGGUGGGGGAUGAGACGGUGACAGAUGGGGAAGAGAGGUAGAUGAGGGCGAUGAAGGGAAUAUGCCCUAGAGGCAAUAAUAUUGUAUUAUUAUAUUCCCAAGUUUGUAAUUGAUGUUUAUAUUUCUAUGCUAUAAUUGCAAUGGUUCUUGAACGUGAGAUUCGGAGGAAAACUCAUUUGCAUGUGUGGAAACAUAAACCCUAAUUUAAAGGUCCCUAGUCACGCCUCUUUGACUAGCUUAUAUAUAAUUGAUGAUUCUGUUUUCCUGAUCAUGAGCAUACGAUGCUGGUUAUAUAUGAGAGCACAUUGUUGGUUGAACAAUGGUGUUGGAUUGACCCAACUAAUGAUAUACCGAGAGAUCACAUCGAUUACUUGUUAUCGGUAUUAUUGUUAUUGUUGUAAUUAUCAUUAUCCUUAGACCAUGAAAAUAUCGUAUGAUAUUUAUAUCGGAAGGAUAAUUUGGGUGUUACUUAUUGUUUCCCGUAAUAGGGUUAUCAUGACGGUGAUUUCCGGGUACUCCGGAAAGUACGAAUUGAUUCGAUAGUUCAAGAUUGGGAUUUGCUCCUCUAUCGGUGGAGAGAUACACUAGGGCCCACUCGGUACGAAGAUAUCUAUCACCGUCUGGCCAGACACAAGAAUGAUAUGAUCAUUGAGAUAUCGGAGUACGGAAUGAGUUAAAAGUACAAAACCGGUAACGGGGAUAGCUAGGUACAAGUGGAACAAGGGUUGGUUCACGGGCGUACCGGAAGUCUCACCCCGGGUUUUGUAAACGUAUCGUGAAGCAAAGGGAAAUGGUUUUUAGUAACAAAUGGUUCACUUGAAAGUCUUCGUGUAUGUGUAGUAAUUAUUGAGAGUGUCCAGGCUCUUUAAAUAAUUAUUGACUGGGUCAUAGCUACACAUUUCCCAACCUAGGCGGUCAGACGCUUAACGACGAAUGGUUAUUUGAAGGUCUAAAGUUUGGAAUUUGGUCAAGAGUUGAAUACUGAAGUUGUUCAGAAUGACGAGACAUAUUUUAUGGAGGUCCUAAAUGUGAUUUAGGAGUUACAGAAAUAUUCGGAGUAAUCAUGAGUGCUUCCGGAAGGUUUUAGAAGCCUCUAGAAGGAUCCGAUGGAAAUUCCGGAAGGUCAAAUGGCAAAAGGUCAAAAGUCAAAGGUGGGUCAAACCCUGGUCAAAGGUUGACCAUGGGGGCCAGCCAUCUUGGUUUGGAGAAGGGGUUAUAAGACUCCUAUUAGGAGUUCAUAUCUAUUCCUAUUAGAGGUAGGCGUGCUACUCUUUUUGGAGGAGGACUCUUUUCGUCCUUUGGCCGGACGCCCUCCUAUAUAAGGAGGGGAGGGGUGGCCGGUUAUAGGGGCACUCUCGCUAGUUGUCCUUUGCCCGUCAAGUUCGAGCUCUCUCAUCUAAAGUUUAGACGUCUAAUUAGUAAAUCGUCUACUUUCCGAUCUAGUUUCUUCCAGCGGUUCUUCGUACUGGACGUGAAAGUGCUGCUGAACUAUUCCUCCGGGACGUGUGGAUACGUGUGGAGAGAUCGCCCACUUCGAUCUUGCAGGCGGAUCGCUGUUCGUCUACUUCAAGCUUUCAGGCGCAGCAGAUCGUGCGAGGAAUAUUCUCACGGCUGGGCGGUAUAACCUAACUGCGGGAAUCUGCUACAGGCUUCAACGACAAUCUAUUUCCGCUAUGGUUUUUUGGUAGAUGAUCAAUCUAUCGCAUCCGCAUAGUGAUCUUGAUUGGUUCGUUCGUAGGAAAAUUUUAAUUUUCUGCCUACGUUCCCUUUCAGGCGAAUGGAGGCGGUGGAGGGACCCGAGACGUGGGGUGGGCGGCCUGCUGUGCGUAUUUUAUUUAUUUUCUUUACUACUACUACUACUUAAGCCACAGUUAUGUCCGUGGUUUACCGUAAGUCCUCCCACCCCCCACAGAAAAAAAAGUCCUGAAAAAAUCCGGUCCCCCCACCCCUUCUGAGGAAACAUUCGCCCAGAAGGAAAUAUUCAAUCAACCAUCAAUUGAUUGAGUUCAAAAGAUGACCCAACGCAUUAGGCAACUCUUGGAGAGAUUUCAGGAGAGUAUGGAAAGAUUGUUAGGAGUUGGCCGAGUUGUGGGAGUGAUUUCAGGAAAGGACAUCUUGGUUAGUUGCACGUAUAGCGUGAGUUUAGGGGCUAACGGUCUGAGAUUGGCUGUUAUUUAUGGCAUGCUUUGUAAUCUUGUUUUUGGAAACAGAAAGAGGAAUAGGAAAGGAGAAAAUCUCGGGCUGUGAGAGGCAGCCUCGAGGCCCAAACCUUGCCUUCCUUAUGUUCGUGGUGUUGCCAAGAAAAGAGAUAUCGUGAGAGAGGGAGCUGCAGCGACAGAGAAGAAGAACUGGAGUUGCAGAUUCCUGCCGCGGCAGGAAAUAUUCUGCCGCGGAAGAAAAUCUGCAGGCUGGAGCUGCGUGAGGUAGACGGGGAAGAAGAAGGGGAGCAGCAGCGGCUAGCUGCUCCAACAUAGCCUUAUCAGUUGCCGGGUAUUAACUGGACAAUUCCUAAUCAUGCUUCAUGAAACGGUGCUAAAACAUUGUCCUGUGUCGCAAGUCCCAACAAUCCUAAUGGAUUUCAUUCUGCCGAGUCAUUAAAGGUCUGUGCUUGUUACUCCUAAUUCUGAUCAUAGUUAUUGUAACGUGCUUCUAUCUAGAAGCCGAUGUACACCUAUCAUGUUUGUCAGUUAUAACUUUGUAUGCUUUAAGAAGAUCUAUUUUGUACUUUGGGCUAGGUAUUUUCUACUUCGUAUGCUUCAAGGAAGGUAACUGACUGAGAUGAGAUGCAUAGUUGUUGCCAGAGAGAAGGGACGUUAGCACGUGGCAAACGUGGUUAGCAAUAAAAAUGCAAUCAGAGAGAAGGGAAGUUGGAGAAUGAAACAAAUAUUUAUUGUGAUAGGUUAAAAGUUAUACACAAUUAGUGUACAUAUUUAUUUUUAUUUAUUUAUUAUUUUUCGUUGCAACGCACGGGUACUUUGGCUAGUAUAUUUAUUUGGAGAACAUCCGUAUUUUAUUUGGUGGGCGAUGGAACAAGACAGACAUGUACCAUGCCUUCUUGGUUUUGAGUUGGUCCAGAAACAUCUCACAAAUGGUCCAACAACCCAACACAAAUGACCUAGUAUUACUCACUGUUCUAUACCAAUAGUGGGCCAAAAAGCGGAAAUUCCAUUUGGGUCCUGGGACCCCCUCCCUAUCUCCAUCAUUCCGCCGAUGUUUGAUGUUUGCUUUUAGACCCUGUUUGUUUGGGCCCUGAUGGUCGCCCUUUGCGUAUUUGUGAAAUCAUAGGUGAUGUGUAACAUUGGUAAGUAUUUUAGAUGAAACAUUGAUGUGGAUACUUUGGCUAAUAUGGAUUGACGAAGAUGUAACUUCGACAAUGUCCAUAUUGAUGGACUUGUAUCAAGGAAAGAGGAGUGUGUGUUGGCGAACUCGUCGGCUAACAAGGACACAGGGGACACGAUUUACCCAGGUUCAGAGCCCUCGAUGAGGUAAUACCCCUACGUCCUGCUUGUCGGAUCUGUAUUGAUGAGUCGAUUACAAUAGGGUGCCGCAGAGUCUAGACGCACCGAGUCGUCGAGUGCGUCCAGGCGACUUGUAUCUAAGCUCGGGGGGUGUCCUCUUGGCUCCCCCUCCUGGUCCUUUAUAUAUGCAGGAACUCACAUCCGAGGUAGAGUCCAAGUAGGUUACAAUGAAAAGACAUACUCUAAUUAUUCUUCCUUAUCUUGAGUCGCAAGAUUUGGCAUGUAAACUCCUGGAGUCGAAGUAGGCUUCCUUGUGGGCCCCUAGCUGGGCUGUAUCGGGUAUACUCGAGUCGAGUACGUGGUUAGUCAUAACCACGUCAUGGAUACUUAUGUGAUGACAUGUAUCUUGUUUGGACUUAGUGGUUUGCUAUUGGUGUGUUGAUCCAUUAGUUUCUUAUGUAAAAACAUGGCGUGAGUUGUGUUGAAACUUACCUUGAGUGAAGUCGUGGACUUGUGCUCGUACUGGUUAUUUGUGUGUUCACUUUCAGGUGUUGCCGGAGCUAGAAGAACAUGGUCGGUGAUGGGAUCGAGGGACGAAGCUUGGGAGAAGCUGAGGUCAAGGGAUCAAAGUCAUGCGAGACGUUCAUGUGAAGGAACAAUGGAAGUGAAAUAUACGAUGAUUCGGGAGGGCACCGGUUUGUCGUAUGUUGUUUAUACCGGAGAUGUAUGGUAUUGUAGAUAUUUGACACGUGAUGGUCGAGUUUUGAAGACAUCACAAGAAGAGUCAAGGAGUCCAAACAAGACCAGAUGUUCCCUAUUGUUAUCGGGAACGAGACUAAAUGUUCGGCCUUAAUGAGAUGGACCUUGAUUCCUCUCCGGCCAGGAAAAGAUGCGGCUCCUCUUUGUUUUGUUCUACUACCUUCAUCCUCGGGUGAAGCCGGUUGGCUCACCAAACAAGAGGCCUACUGUUAAAUCAUUGGUAACCAUGCCUAACGGUCGGUCCUCUAAGCUAUCGGCCAAGGCAAGUGAGAGCUGUUCAAGAGUUGGGGGCAUAUCUUUAGCUCGAGUAGCAUUCGCUCCCAAAAUGUGUGGCAUCGACGUGAAGACAUGUAGGUCCAGCCGUGGCUGGAUGAGAGCUGUUUAAAGACUAAACAAUAGUGUCAUGAAUAUGGCGUCCGAUGGAAAAGUGGUCCAUAUGGAAGUUGUGCGCGUCGUGACGCUGUGUGAAUGCUUUCUUUUGGCCUACGGGCUCCUACCUCCACAUCGCGUGCUUCGUGACGCUGUGUGAAUGCUUUCUUGGAAUAAAUCCCCAUAUGGGUCUUUGGAAGAGAAUGUUCACCAUCAAGCGCCAAGGCAAGGAUGCGAUUGGAUGGGUGAAUAUUCAAACUCAUGCGGAUGCCAAAUUCUUCAACCUCCGAGAGAGGGCAUCAUCUUCUCGAUGGAAAUCGAGGUGGUUCUUUGUCAUGGAUGUGCCGGCCGAAGGACGCGACUUCAGUCUUCCCGAAUUCUCCGUGACCACGUCGGUGAAGAAGACGAUGGCCUGGAGUCAUAAAUUGGGAGGAACAGAGGGUGAAGAAGCCGAGACUCUAUUGGCCCGAGUUCUGUCUCUCAUGGAGACUCCUCAGUUGAAGGUGACUAGAAUUCACCUCAUUGCCGCUUUUAUCCGGAGAAGAAUUCAGCCUCUGCAGGCUCGUGCUCAUCCCAUGUGGGCAUAUCGGGGGGGUUCAUGACUCGACCCGAUUUAGUACCGAGGAAUUUCGUUCGACUGAAGUGUGUCGACGAGUUCGGCGACUUACUAACUUGGACGAGUCGGAGCCCUGCGAGAUUGACCCUCCAGUGGCUCCCUAUGGGCCUGACAGGUCCCUAGAAAAGAUGACCACCGAAGCGUCUGACAAGCCCUGCUGUUUUUUGGCAUGAAUUAUUUCUGAUCAUGGUUUUGAUUUUAGGGACCCGAUAAUGAUCUAAGCGGCGCUUCCCCACCGGCAAAGAAGCGCGGCAGAGGAAAAUGACUUGUCGGUACAGACCCAAAUGAUAAGCUUGAGGGACCCGAACGUCGGGCCGUCAGUGUCUGUACCUGCGCUCAAGAGAACCAAGUCCGACGGGCCAAUCGCGACUCUCGCUUUGGUCUUUUUGCAUGACUCAACCGUGCCAGGUGAAUCUUUUAGCCAUCUUACUUCAGUAUCCUAGAGAUUUUGACUGAACCUCUAAAAACUUCUUGAUUAGCCAUACUAGUGGCUCAGUUGAGAGCAAAAAGGCUCCCUGGACUCAAUCGACUGGUCAGGACUUGAAAGGGUCGGACCAGCCGACUAAACAAAAGACAGCCCAUACCAAGGAGGCUUCGGCGGCUAAUCCGAGCAGAGGAAGUCGACCAGAUGAGUCGAGCGUUCCUCAGGCGACGGUUCCUGCGUCGAGUCGACACGUGAGCAAAUUUGUCAUUUGCUAUUACCUGCCUCCCGGUGGGAGUGACACUCAAGAAAUGACUUGAGAUUGCUUUUUUGUUUGUAGCCAAUCAUCCGCUCCAUGGCAACUCUUAUUGAAGAGUUUGAGGAGACGAAAGCAGAUCGGGAGCGACUUCGAGAAGAGCUGAGUCAAUGAAGCGAUCCUCCCCCUUACAAGGGUUCGAUCUCUGUGCUUACCGUGCUAGUCCCUGGAUCGACUCACUAGCACACACAGUUUCAUGAUGAAAUAUACAGAAACAAAGGUCAAAAGUACUUUAUUACAUCGCAUCAUUCAGAAUUUAAAUAGUACUUACAACCUCGCAUGACCUCUUGGCCAGCAUAAAACAAAUACUGUUUCAUCAUCAUAAAACAAUGUUUCAAAACUGCAGCGGAAAAGGGUAGAACAAAAGGGCCUCAACUACUCCAAGGUGAGAGCAUGUUGGAAUGUAAGCACAUGACCCAUGACAAAACGACGAACCUCACUCAUCGUCGGAUCCACCUGCAUUGUAAUUGCAGCCACUACGUGGUCAAUACAUUUGAAUGUAUUGGCAAGUUCACCAGAGUUAUAAAGGACCUACCAAGUAUAUGCAUAAUUUGGCUAGGUGGAGUUUGGCUGUUUGCAUAAAAGCAUCAUAGUUCAAUCCUAUCAUUUUUAAACAAUUAGUUUUGAAUUCUAUUGGACACGGGAUAGAAACACCCAUGCUCCUAUUAACCUAGGCACAUUGAGUAGAAACAUCAAUGCUCCUACCCAGUUCAAACCAUUCUUUUUAUUAGGAAAUUGGAAUGAGUGAGACCUUUCUUACAGCCCCAAUAUCUAGUUGCUCAUAAUUGUCCGUAACCGGGGACACGGCUAAGUACUUAGUUUGACACUCUCGAGAGGUUGUACACAUUCCCCACAAGAAAUCGACGUGUUAAUCCCUUGCUGUCCUCAGGGUAGAGUAGCAACGGCAUCGACUACAGGAUUUUUCAGAACAUAAUCUCCCAGACCACCUGAUGGACGCGCCCCCACCUACACUGCUACAUACCGAUGUCACCUCGGAUCCGGGUUCAUAUUUCUUACAUCCAUCCUGGCAGAGCCCAUAAUACCAUGUGGUUGUACUGGAAUCUACUAAACAAGAAACUAGUCCAGUCUCUGGUUACCCCGGGUGGCAUUCCUCAGUUGCAACGCAGGCGCUCCCAUAGAAAUGGUGAGACGACUCAUAGAAAUGGACCCAUAGAAAUGGACCUGACGUCGCAUACAUCUCCACUUCCUCAAAGCAGCCCACCCAGGACGGUUUAUUGAAUUACUUGUUUUGCCGUACACUAGGAAAACCAUAUUGUAAUUCAAUAGUAUCACAUUGUAAUAAUACCACCCUCGUAUAUUAUCAUAUCCUAGCAUUUUACUACCACGAUGGCAAUUGGUGGUGGGAACAUGGCAAAGGUAUUCUACACUAUUAGGAGAAUCAUAGCAUAGCAUAGAUACAAUAAUAAUCCUAACAAUGCAACUAAUAAAAUCUAGUGCAUAAUAAAGUAAUACGUGAAUGAUCAAAGUGAACUUGCCUUGAUAGUAGUUGGUAUUCAAACACUCUUCGCAAUCACACAGUUCGUUCUCCAAGAAAACUAAUCAAAUACAAACAUUGCAUACAUAAGCACACAAUACAAUCAAGAGUAAAAAAGUAUGCCAUGAUGCAAUGUAAAACAUGUGACAUGAGCUUGGUUUAUUUUAUUUGAGUGAUCUACUGAUCCUAAGCAUAAGUAAUUAAAACAAAUGCAUUAGCGUUUUAAAUAGAAAGGCAAAGGCUAGGGUUUAAACCCUGAAAUAAGGUUUUAUUUGCGUCUGCAAAGAAAUUUAAUUCAAAAUAUUUAUUUCUCUGUCUUUAUGGACAGAGGAUAAUAAAAUAAAAUUUUGGGCACUGGUUUCAUUCAAAAAGGACUUCUAAAUAAUUAGUUAUGAUUUAAAUAGUAUUAUACCUUAUUCUGUAAUUUGAAUGUGAUUCAAAUUUUCAAAUUUAAAAAUGGACAGUGCCAAAAGAUUCUACACUUCCUAAGGAUUUCAAAAAGGUGUGGAUCAUCAAAUUUGGCCAAACAGAUUAAAAGAUAUGAUCAUUUGAAGUUAGAGGGGCUUUUCUGCAAAAGUGCCAUUUCUAAUUAUUCCGGGAAUUAAAAUUAGAUUUUCGUUUUAUAAAAUAGGUGCCACAUGUCACGUUCUCAUUGGUGCGUACCGGUUCGGUUAAAAAUAAACACGGGAUCUAAUCCUAGCCCUCGGAUCUGGAUCGGACGGACGGGGCGGGCUAGGGUUUACCUCCGUGGCGGCGGCGGUCGCCGGAGACGAGGGAGACGGCGGCGCGGGCACGGGCGGGCGGCUCCUCCGGUGAAGUUGACGGCGCGGGGAGGUGCUGGGUCGACACGGCGCGGUACGGCGAAGUCGGGGGCGAGGUCGGCGCUCCUCGGGGUCGUCGGGGUGCUCGCCUAGGAUGGCGCGGAGACAGCGGCGAGCGGCGGACGGCUCCGGAUCUUCGGCUUGACGACGGCGAGGCGCUGCGGCGCGCAAAAAGGAGAAACGGACGCAUCAAAAGAUGCGCAAGGACGAAGGAAAGCGAACGGCUAGAAAUGGGCAGAGUUUUGACCUUAGGGUUCACCGGCGGCGACCAAAACGUGCGGCGGCGAGCGACGAGCUCCGGCGAGCGAUUCCGGCGGAGUGGGCGCGUGAGAGAGAGGGGAACGAAGGGGGAAGAAGAGAGGGGGGCGGGGGGCAGAGCUUUAUGUUGACGCGCUCGGGGCUGCGAAAUAUGGACGGAGCGCAGAGAUCUCGGCGGAGACGGCACGCGGUGGCGAAGAAGGAAAGCGGCGGUGGACGCGGGCGCUUUCCAUCGGGAACGAAGACCCUGACGCGUGGGUCCCACGCGUCAGUGGCAGCGGGCACGCGCGCGUGCGGCGGGGCCAGUCUGGCUCGGUCGGGCGCGGUCGGAGGGGGCUGGUCCGGCCCAUUUUGGCGGGGCCGGUCCGGUUUUCUCUUUAUUUUUCUUUUAGCCCUUUUGUUUUUUCUGUUUUUCCUAUUUCUUUGAUAUCUUUUGAUUUUUACUCCAAAUUGGUCCAAAUAAAUUCUAGAAAAUUUCUAAAAUCAUGUUCUAUCAUGAUUCAACUUUUGGGAGUAAUUUCCCUUCAAAAUAAAAUACCUAAAAAUACAUUUUCCCUAUAAAUGCCUUUAGGGCUAUAUAACUAUUUAAAUAAAAUAGUUUUUCAACUCCAAAUAAUUGUCCAAAAAUUAUGGAAUAGCUCAUUUAUGCAAUAAACCCCUUUUAUAAAUAAACCUUAUUGGUUUAAAGAUUCAAAGCUCAAAUGGGUGUAAACCCUAGGGUUUAAAUUGAAAUAAAAACUUUUAAAGCCUUUUGAGAUUCAAAUUUGAAUUCAAACGUGCAAUUGUGGCAUGAUGCUUAUGAAUGCAAUGCAUAUGAAAGGAUUUGAAAUUUUGGGAUGUUACAGUCAAUGUCGCCAAGAGCUGCAGGACGUGGCCGCCGAAAAGAGUCGUCUUCAGGAACGUAUAGACUCCCGUAUUUCCGCAGAGAAAGAGCGGGAGAAGGUUUGGAUCGAGCGACUCGAAAGUGCUACUCACUCAGUUGCUGGUGAGCGCUUGAACCUGUUAUUCGAGUGGCUUUUCCUUCUCGUGGAAAAUUUUGACCGUUUCUCUGUCCUUUUGCAGGAGUCCUUGAUGCUUCCGCAUAGGUCCAAUUCAAAGAGAGAAGCCGAAGCUUCAAUGAUGUUUUAGAAAAUGUUGAAGUCAUCAAUGAUGAAGCCAAGGGCAAGCUCCGGCAAGCGACAAAGAUUCUGACCACCGUAAUCAGGAAGAUGACUCCUGAUGGGUCAGUGCCGGAGUCGCUGAAUGGGCUUAUUGAAUUUUUUGCAGCGAGUCAUGACCCGGUAGGGGAGUACUACUGAUGCUGAGCUAUUCUUUACGCUUGCUCUUGCGCAUGGCAUUGAGGAAGACGCUCUCCAUCGAGUAACCUCUCGAUCGAGAGCAGGUGACUCGGUCAACCUAGGGCCCCUUAUGGGAAAGGGCAAAGAGCUGGCUGAGAUCUCGUUGCGGCAGCCACGUAGAUCAAUUGAGGAGAUGAACCUAGCUUCAUCCAGCGGCCCAGAGGUGGGUGAUCUUUCACUAGAUAUAUUUGAUUCUCUUUCUCCUUUGUGAAUCUUCUUCUUCUGUUCUUAUACCUUUGUAAAGAACUGCUCUAGCUGAGCCCUUUUUGGAAAGAAAUCAAAAAAUCUUUAUUUCCAUCCCGAAAGGGGUUCUUCAGGAUAAAUGCUGAGGUAACUUGUGUCUUUUCCGCGCAGAGGGAAAAAGGACCAUCGAGUCACUCGAUUCCAGGUGCAGCGGCAACCUCUCGCAACGAUGCUCCAGCCGAUCCUAGCGGAAAAGGUCAGGCUGGGUCGGCUUUGUGCCCAGAGCAGUUACGAGAAAUUGAGGCUCGAUUCACUAAAUUGAAGCGUGACACGCUGGGUGACGCUCAGAGUAGCAAAUCUAGCCUGAAAGCUGCGACCAACCGGGAAGAGUUUGUCUUUGGAGAGCUUCGCAGCCUGAGCAGCCAAAUCCAAGGUAAGGAUCGCAAGACUUUGCCUUUCGAGUCGGUCUGCAAAGUGAUCUUACCGUCUUCUGUGCAGUUGUUCGCUUUGACCCUGACGAUGAAAAGGCCAAAGUGAAUACCGCCAUUCAAGCUCGCAGAGUGCAUGAUCCAUCAUCCUUUUCGCUGGAUCAGUCAAGGAGCUACGACUUGAUGCUGUUGAUCGAGCGGAUCAAGCAGGUCAAAAGGUACUUGACCUCCUGCCGUGACAUGCUAGCUUCGACACAUCUGGCCUUAUGGCCACAGGAGAAGGUGCCUCGUAAACCGGGCAGCCUGAUGGUGAAGUUUCACGACGAGGAGAAGAUGAAGGAGCUGGUUCGACUCUAGCUGGUGAGGGGUGCCCAGAUUGCCCUCGCAUUUGUGCGAGUCAACUGCCCAGAGUUGGAUUUCUGGCAAAUUGCUACAUUGCCAGUUACUCUCACCCAGGGUAUAAAGUCAUUCCUGGAGGCUGGGCAGGCGGCGGCGCUGUAGAUGAUCCAGCAAUGGGAGGCAGCUGAGGAGGAGACCCUGCCUGUCGUAGGUAGUCAUGUAGUUUUUUUCCUCUCUUUUUUUGUAACGACUAGUCUACCGGGUGCGCGAUCAGCGCUCCCGGUGGGAGUAGCCCCCGAGUGCGGUUGCAACUGUGUGUAGUGGCGACCGGACUCAAGGUUGUAAUGUGAUAUCCUUGAGCAAUGUUGCACCCCUUCUUUUUUUGGAAUGGAGCGCCCUGACUUGCCAAUUAGCGCCGAGUCGAAUUCCGACUUGUGGAAGUCGAAUUUGAGUCGGAUUUGAAGUACUCCUGGUGGGAGUGCCUCGCAGUCGAAUAUAAAUAGCCGAGUGCAGACUCGAACGUACUAGCCAGCGCAAGGGAUUUGUCCUGCUGAUUAGCACUUGGGCCUUGGAAGAAGAUAUGGAUUCCUCCGAUGCACUCGAGGUUAUGCAUAUCCGUUUGGGACAUGUGAGGAAUACCACCUCGCGCAGGCAUGGGAGGAGAUUUCCUUGCUCAAGUCGGAGAAUCGGGCCGCAUCGGGUCGAGAGGAUUUAAUUUCCUCAGGGAAAAUGUGAAGGUUGAAGCUGAAUGUGUAAAGAGUCGUCUUGAUGCUUUAGCACGAUCUGGUUCGGAGAACCCAUCCUUCUAGUCAAAACCGCGACAAGGGUUAUGCCCUUGCGCUUCUGCAAGAUCGAGUUGCAAGAGCAGUGAUCUGCCUGAAGUCCUGCAGUCACUGUUUGACAGAGGUUCACCAUAACUUGUUUCCGGAGCUUCGUGUCCCUGUUGACCUGAAGGGAUUAAUCGAGAGAUUUUGUGAAGGAGCAGUAGUGAGGGGGGCUACUCAUGAACAAUUGGUGGAGGGUGUUGUGCUGGCUCUCUCGUUUGUUCGUUUUCGCUACCCCUCAUUGAAUCUGGACUCCCUGCAUUUGACUCCCUCUUACAUUCCAGACGAUGCUCAGCUUGGACCGAUUUACGACAUGAUGGAGAACACGACAUGUCAGCUGGUGACUCUUAUGGCCUUGGAGUAGAGUAGGCUUUGAUACUCGUUUAAAUAUGUAGGCGUAGUUGUCUGAGUAGUAUUUUUACCGGGUGCGCGACCAGCGCUCCCGGUGGGAGUAGCCCUCGGGUCUGUGCAUGACUGGUUUGCAGUCAUGUGGAGACCCAAAUACUUUGAAAUCUUUUGUAAUUGAAAACUGUUAGCAUCGUUGAAGAUGCCGCACCUUCUUGUUCUGUACUUCCAUUGAUCUUGUAUGAGAAAACAUUAUGAUUCCAAUUUUGCUUGCUUGGAAACUGCCGACCAUUGAAUGAUUGUGCUGAUGUUUGUUUACGCGAUAGCCCGUGAAUGCCGGCUGCAUACAACGAGAGUUUUUUAAAGUCGAUUGAACGCAGCCUCCGAGCGUGGGGUGCGACCAAUGACAAUGUCUGCGGUCGACGGGACACAGCCCCCGAGUGUCGAGUGUGUCCAAUGAUAAGUUUGGGUCGAUUGGACGCAGCCCCCGAGUGUCGGGUGCGUCCAAUGACAGUUUAGGUCGAUUGGACGCAGUCCCCGAGUGUCGGGUACGUCCAAUGACAAGUUUGGGUCGAUUGGACGUGUAACAUACCGGUUCUCGGCAUUUCCAAAAUCUAUUUCCUAAAAAUGACUACUUGAAAAUUUCGCUGAAUUAAACAAAGCUUAACUGGAAAUUUCUUGAAUCUUUGGUUCUAAAUUGAAUUUACACCGACUAAAUAUGAAUUUGAUUUAUACACUUUCUCAUUUGGUUUGCUUAUAUUUUAUUUGGAUUCUCCAUGUUCAAAUAUGCACUUUUAAAUCUCUCUGGAAUUCAUCUCGAAGUUGAUUUGAUGUUUGAGAAGUUCAUUCGAUCUCUUAGCUUCUGUAAAAAUAAAAAAGCAUUUCCUCUUUCUUUUUAGCUUUGGCUGAAAUCCCCAGCCGCAACCCAUCUUCCUUCUCUCUCCCGUAGCCCACUUCUGGCCGAACUGCUCCAGACUACCGUGCCUUGCUUCUAUUUUCUCCCGCGUGUGUUUAAUCUCCAGAGGACGAAGGAGAACUGCCAUCUCCUCGACGCCAGUGUAACUCGAGCUACCUAGAACGAUCGUAUUCAGAGGGAGCUCACGCGAGGAAGACAAGAGUUUUUGCGCUGCUCAAACUUCCGCAGCUUUUCUGGCAUUUUUCAUUCCCCUUUUUAUUCAGACGUUACAUGCAAAACAGAAAAUGGGGAGAGCAAGCCGCGCCAUGAUCCGCUGAUCCCGCGCCAUCCCACGGCCGAGUCAUGGCGCACAUCCCGCUCCUCCACAACGGCCACACUAUAGGCACGCCCAUGCAAACGUACGCAGACAUGCUGGGACGUGUUAUGCUAACAGAAAACAAACUAACAACUGAAAGCAAAGAUGUUUAACAUGCACGAGUUUACUAACAAAACACUCCCUAAACUCGUGCACCUACUUUAUUUGGAUCAUACCAAUCUUCGAGCGCAAUUCCUGGAAUCUGACGCGGCCAAGGGACUUGGUCAGGAUAUCAGAGAGCUGCGCCUCAGUUCGGAUGAACUCCACUUCAGCCUGGCCUUUCUCAACGCACUCCCGUAUGAAGUGAAAUCGAGUGUCGAUGUGUUUGCUCCUGUCGUGGAACACAGUAUUCCGGCUGAGAGAGAUCGCCGACUUGUUGUCGACGAACAACUUGAUGCAGGCCGCCUCUUCCUUCUUCAGUUCACCGAAAAGACGAGCUAGCCACACUCCCUGAGAGACAGCAGUGGUCACCGCAAUGUAUUCGGCUUCACAAGAUGAGAGCGCCACCACCUUCUGCUUGGUUGACUGCCAGGUAAUCGGACUUGUUCCGAGGAAGAAGAGGACGCCGUGGUGCUUUUGCGGUCGUCUAUGUCGCCAGCCAAGUUGCUGUCGCUGUAACCGACAAGGUUGGCGUCGCCGUUUGCUCCUCGUGCAAACUUGCAGCCAUAGUUCAGGGUCCCCGCGACGUAGCGAAGUAUGUGCUUCACUGCUGCAAGGUGCUUGACAGUAGGGGACUCCAUGAAUCUGCUCACAUAGCCCACCGAGAAAGUGAUAUCCGGCCGGGUGUGAACCAGGUACCUGAGGCACCCCACGAUGCUCCUAUAUUCAGAAGCAUCCGUUGGCUCUGCUGAACUAGCUUUGCUCAGCUUGAGGCGUGUUUCCAUCGGCGUCUGACAAGAAUUACAGCCCGUCAUCCCACUGCGCUCAAGGAUCUUCACGGCGUAUGAGGACUGACAGAUGGUGAUGCCGGCAGCGUCUUGCUGCACUUCAAUGCCAAGAUAGAAACUGAGUGGCCCAAGGUCACUCAUCUCAAACAGCUGCUUCAUUUCUGCUUUGAACAACUGCAGCUCUUGCUCGUUGGCUCUAGUAAUGAUCAGGUCGUCCACGUAAACUCCGACCAAAACUCUGGCUUUGUCUUCACCUCUGGUAUAGACAGCAUGCUCCAGCUUGCUGCGAACAAAGCCAAUUGACGUAAGGCAAUGAUCCAGCUUUGCAUUCCAUGCCCUAGGAGCCUGUUUUAGACCAUAUAAGGCCUUCCGAAGCUUGAACACCUUGUGCUCUUGCCCUUUCACCUCGAAGCCCGGUGGCUGAGCAACAAACACCGUCUCCUCUAGUUCACCAUUGAGGAAGGCGGACUUCACGUCCGUGUGGUGCACAGUCCACCCGGCAUGCGCCGGGAGAGCAAGCAGCAGCCGGAUGGAGUCCAGAUGAGCGACCGGCACGAACACUUCGUCAUAGUCCACGCCAUGCCGCUGCACGUAGCCCUUUGCGACAAGACGGGCUUUGUGCUUGGCCACCUUGCCGCGAGAGUCUUUUUUCACCUUGUACACCCACUUCAAUCCUAUAGGACGUUGUCCUUCCGGCAGCGAGACCAAUUCCCAAGUAUCAUUGGCCUCAAUAGAAUGCAUUUCCUCCAUUGCUUUGCGCCACCACGCAUACUGGAUGGCAUCACGGUGGCUCGUUGGUUCUUCGUUGAUGAGGAGAUUCAGCAGCGGGGCCGCACCGGCAUCAAGCACAUUCCUGACAGUGCGAUACCGAUGAGGCACAUGAGCGUCGUCGUCGUUGUCGAACAGCUCUGGUUCCACCGUGGGUGGAGAGACAAGCUCGAAUCCCACAGUGGGCGAUUCAGCAGGCGUUGCUGGUGUUGCGGGCGUUGCUGGAGUCAUGGGCGCUGGACUGGAGUCGUUCGUGUUGUCGGCCGGAACUGGAGAUAAUGCCGCCUGCGUCGCGGCCGGGUGCAGCACAUACUCAACAGUAAAAUAAUCUGUCGACAAACCAGAGUCGUUAUUGCUGCCGUCUGCGUCCCAGUUCCAUGCCGCAGACUCGUCGAACACCACGUCACGAGUGACAUGGAUGCGCCUCGCCACGGGAUCAAACAUUUGGUAGGCCUUGAUCCCAGGCUCGUAGCCGAACAUGACCAUCUUGCGGCUCCUGUCGUCCAGCUUCUUGACAUUGGGGCUCACCAUUUUGACAUGGCCGAUGCAGCCAAAAGUGCGGAGAUAGUGCACAUUCGGCUGCCAUCCAUGCCACGCCUCGAACGGGGUCUUGCCCUCAACGCUGGCCGUCGGCAAACGGUUCAGCAGGUACACUGCCGUGGUGACUGCCUCGCCCCAGAACUCCGCCGGCACUCCCUUCGCCUUCGCAGGCAGCGUGCCAUGCCGACGACGUUUGAUUGCGCCGCUCGACGACGCCGUUUUGCUGGGGAGAGUACGGCGCUGUCAAGUGCCGCUUCACUCCCAGCUCCUCGCAAUAUGCAGUGAAGUUGUUCGACGUAAAUUCACCGCCGCGAUCGGUGCGCAGCGCUCGGAGUGGAUGCUGCGACUCGUUCUCGGCAGCCACCUUGAAUCGCUUGAUGGCCACGACUGCCUCGUCCUUGCUCGUCAACAAGGUCAGCCACAUAUACCUGCUAUAAUCAUCCACAAGAAGCAGGAAGUACCGCUUGCCUCCUGGCGUUGCCGGUGUCACCGGGCCGCAGAGAUCGCCAUGCACCAGUUCAAGCUGAUCUGCAGCCCGGUACUUUGCCUGGUGGGGAAAGGGAGCUCGGCGUUGCUUCCCCACCAAGCAGCUGUCGCAGAGCUGGCCCACGCGCUCGAUCGUCGGCAUGCCGCGAACCAUGCCGUCCCUGGAGAGCCUCCGCAGUGCAUCGAAGUGCAGGUGGCCGUACCUGGCGUGCCAACGCCAGGCGUCAUCGUUCCCUUGUACAGAGAGGCAGAUGGGCUGCGCCACCUCGAGAUGUAGCACGUACAGACGCCCCCGGUUUCGCCUCACACGAGCGAGCAGCUUCCGUUGUGGAUCCCACAGCCGGAGAACGCCGUGGUGGAUGUUCGUCUCACACCCAAUUUCGUCCAUCUGCCCUAGACUGAUGAUAUUGCUCUCCAGACGUGGGAUGAAGUAGACAUCAGUGAGCACUCGGUGCUCACCGUUCCGGCAAGUGAAGACAAUCUUGCCGCGGCCCUCGAUGUUGACCAGCGAGCCGUCCCUGAGCUUUACGCGUCCACUCAUGCCGGCAUGCAGCUCGGAGAAGAGUUCACGGCGCCCGGACAUGUGGUUCGACGCGCCACUGUCCAGGAACCAUGACAUGUUGCAGCGCCCAUCGCCGGGAGCCGCGCGGGCUUUAGAGUGCUCCUCAUUCAGCAUGACGUGCUCCUCGGCGUCGUCCGUGAUCACCUUCAGCGCGCACGUGCGCGCCAUGAGGAGCGCCGGCUCCUCGUCGUCGGCUUGGGCGAGAUUGGCAUGCCCCUUUCAUUCCUUCCUAGGCUCACGACAAUGCUUCGAGAAAUGGCCCAUCUUAUUGCAAUUGAAACAUUUCACCUUGGACAUGUCGAUGUUUCCGUUGGCGUCGCGGGCAUGCCCAAUGCCCUGUUGCUUCGGAGCCUUGCCGCGCUCGUUGCCGUUCGCGUUCUGGGCAUGGUUCGUGCCGCCCACGUUCUGGCCUUGGCCACCGCUGCCUUGGCCCGUCUGGCGCUGGCUGCGGCGUGUCUCCCACUCCUCUUCGGUGAGGAGUAGCUGGCCUCCGGCAGCACUGGACGAGCUGCUGCCGAGGGUGUAUCGGGACUCCGCCGCGCGAAGCCGCCCGAUGAGUUCCUCCAAAGACACCUGCUUGAGGUCGAGCAGCGUCUCAAUCGACAUCACGAUUUGCAUGUAUUUCUCCGGCACACGCGCGAGGAACUUCUUCACCACCGUGUGACCGGCGCCACCGGAUCGCCGAGCGUCUCCAUGUGGUUGAUAUGGCUGUUGACCCGCAUGCUGAACGAGUCGAGGGAUUCGCCGAGUUUGAAGGCGAAGCGCUCCCACUGCGUGCGAAGGCGUUCCACCGCCGCCUUGCGCACGCGCUCCACGCCGAGGCGCAUGAGCUUGAUGGCCUCCCAGCCCUCCCUGGCCGUCUCCUUGGAGGCAAUGAUGCCUUUCAUCUCCGGUGGCACGGCUUUGAUCAGCGCCGCCAGAGCAUUCAUCUCGUCGACCUCGCUGAUCUCGUCGUCCUCCUCAGCGAUCAUGGCCGUCCACAACCGCUGGGCACGCAGGUUGACCUUCAUGACCUGUGCCCACUCGACGUAGUUCGUCGCCGUUAGCUCGGGGCAGGUGAUCGUGCUUCCCCCGCCGCCGGCGACCACCCUCUCCUGGACGAUUAUCUGGCGGUUGUCGUUCCGCCUCGCGCCAGGACUCUGACCUCGCGGCCGUCGUGAAGCCGACCGCGAACCACCGACAGACCGCUCGCGUGAGCGAUCCUGACUGCCGGCCAUGGCGCCUAGAGCCUUUCGUGGCUCUGAUACCAACUGUAACUCGAGCUACCUAGAACUAUCGUAUUCAGAGGGAGCUCACGCGAGGAAGACAAGAGUUUUUGCGCUGCUCAGCCAGAAACCGGCAACAAGAAACGUCAUCCGACAGCCAUCAAAUUAAUAACCCCAUCUUGCCCUUCCUUCCUUUCCUCCCUGCUGCUUUUGCACGCCAUAGCCUGAAUUCCACCCGCAGCAUCGCCAAGUCCCUGCCUGCGCCCCACUGCCCACCAAAUCGCCAUUGAUGUUGACGGCAGAAUCCUGCGAAUAAAAACGCUGCAGACCAAACCCUUGCGCCAGAACAACCACACCAUUCCAAUUUUCCCCAACGCAACUCUCCCCUCUCCACUUUCCAACCGAAGACCCCCAUGGUGCAGCACCGAAGAGGAUGACAAGGGAGAGCAGCACCAGCGAUCAUGUCAGGAGGGCCAUGCCAAGAAGGGAUCGAGGCCAAGCGCCAUGCAGUAGGAAGAAAGGACUGUCGUCUGAUCGACUACAACCGCCAGCAAAUCCUCCUGUCUUUAUUCUACUGCUAUUCAUCGAAUUGGUGAGAAUCUGAUCAAACCAUCAUCCUUUUGAAUGCCUCUACAUCCAGCACAUAUGCAGAUUCAAGUGGAUUUCUGAACCAAUUUGUUUAGCAUCCCCAAAUUCUCUUUCUUCCACUUCUGAAUAUUGUUCCACCGAUCAAAUCUUUCUCCCAUCCUUUAGUAACCAUCUUUAGUCAGCAUUACCACUGGUUACAGGUCCUAGACCAAUCGGAUAGGGGUUGGGAACAAUAAAACUCAAAUAAGCCUAUCCUGCUUGUUAGCACCAAAAUGGUUGAUUUCAUAUCUUUGCUAGAUCAAUUUUUGUUUGUCUGAAACUUUCUGCAUAUAUAGAUGUCUAUCAUGUUCUAGUAUUAAUUUACUUUGCAUACAAAUAGUUUCACAUGUUCUGGACUUGUAGAUUUGAGGAUCUUGAGAUUGCAAGGUUGUUAUUUCAUGUGCAAUAGUUAUUUUGAUCAUGCUUGUUCUUUCUGUGUAAAAAUCUGCAUAAAUGUCUAUAAGAUCAUGUUUGUAGUUAGUUUUACCUGCACACAUUUUAGUUGGACUGUCACUUCUGAAUCUCCAUUUGUGGGCAUGUUUUAUCUAUUAUUUAAAAGCAUUGUUUGCAUUCUAGUUCAUCGGUUUGGUACAGAAAAUCAUGUGAAUGAAGUUUGCUGCACAAAAAUGCAUGGCAUGACAUCUUAGAUACUUCUAUGAGUAUUAUGAACAUAUUUUAGAACUCAGCCAUAUUUAUGUUAUUGAUCGUUGAGUGUAUCUAUUUUAAUUUGUGCAGAUUAAUAAAUGAUCAUUCUUGCAUAUGUUUUGCGUAGCUUAUUUGUACGGGUUAGAUUUAUGUCUUGGCUUGCUUGUAGUAUUUUUAGCCUGUAACAAAUUGUAUAUAUAUUGUUACAUAAUUAUUUCUAAAGUUUGUAGAAUUUUCUCACAUGCCUAGUUAGCUUUCAGAUUUAUAAAUUAGCAUCCUUGCUUGUGUUUUUGUUUAUGCAGCACAGCCAUGAUAGUUGUUUUGGUUAUAUCAGAUUUAAUAUAGCUUUUGUAUGCUUACUAGUAUUGUUGGUAAUUAUUUGAGUAUUUAUGGAUUGCUAGUUUGUUUUUAACAUUAUUAUUUCCAUAGAUAUACCAUGUUUAGUGUAUAUAAAUGCUUGUUAAUGUAUAUACUAUUUGUCUAAUACAUUGCAGCGUCCAAUAUUAUACUUGGGUUGUUUUGAUGCUUUCCAUGCUGUUCAUAUAUAUGUCAUGGUAUGAUGUUUGUUAUCCAUGGCCCAAGGUAGAAGAAGACACACAAACACAAUGAACUCACAGAGGCUUUGGCACCCGCACACCUCGUGUCUUUUUUUCUCUUGUUCACUUGUAAACUUAGCUGAUUACAAGUCUUAAGUAGAGAGAAAAACAUAGGCACACACUGCUGCUUUGAUCCGCUAAUUGCUCUCCACUAGCCGGUAGCUAGAAAGCCACGAAUAAUCACGUUGGAUACGGCCACACGAUUCAGCCGGAGUCCUCCUCAACUUGUUGAUUACUCGGUCCACACCUGAAGCCUCUAAUGGCCAUGUAACUCGGUCAGCAACAGCACACCUACCUGCAUGCUACUUAUCCUAUCGAUGCCAACACAUGCAUCCAUUCUCCACUGGACUAGCUAAUUCAACUAACUAAAGUACUAAACUCACUUAGCUUGCAUGCACACACGUGAACACAUCUCUCCGUGUGCGCUGCCACAGCUUGCUACCUGAACGACACAAAUAAAUGAACAUGAUGAAAAAACUCUAAACAACAAGGUUAACUCCAACAAUGUUUGCAUUUAUCCACUACCUAUAUUGCAUAUAGAGUAGGUUUGUACAAUUGCAAUGCAUUUGCUAUAGUUUAUUCUUGUAGCUAUUCCGAUAUUGCAUGAAUGCUUUGUACAAUUUUAGUACAAUAUAUUCCAAAGCCAUGAGCUUGAUUGUAUUUAUAGAUACAAAUAAUAUGCAUGUGCUUUCUUAUUGCUUGGCAUACUUUGUUAUGGUUUGACUUAUACAUCAUAUAUGCUCAUCCAUGGAUAGCCUCUUGCUUGCUAGCUAGUGAUACAUGUUAGUUGUUGCCUGUCCCUGUAUAUGCUAAUAUAAGGAUGCAUGUCAUUUAUUUGUUUAGCUUUGCCAUGUUUGUUAGUGCAUAUGUCCAUAUUAUCACAUGAUAGCCUAUUGUCACUGAAGGAGCAUAUGUAUUCUAGAGUGCUUUAUCCCUAUUAAUUAUUCUCACAUGAUAGCAUUGUUUGUUCUGACCUCCAUCAUGUAUAUGUUGGCUUGCAAAUGCCUAUAUUGUUUAGUUGCCUAUAGCUAAGAUGCAUCUCUUUGGUAUUAUCAUGCUCAUGCCACUAGCAUAGAUCCUAUGCUUGCUUGACUAGUAUAGAAUCAUGUGUGGCAUGUUUUACUCAUAAUUUAUCUGUUGUGAUUGUUCAUGCUUAAUUUGUAUUCAACCUUGACUUGAAUUAGAACUACUUCUGUUUUUUAUUUUAUUUAUUUUUAUCAUGUGUAGAGAGAAUUGUUAGCUUUGUAAGUCUCUCACUCAUCCUUGCUGUUGUAUGCCAGUUUGUAUAUUAUGCGAAUUGCUUGUUUAACUAGGAUGAUAGGAGUUUGAUUGCUGCUUGCAUGCUAGCAUAAUAAUGUGUGUUGCUUUGUCAUGGAGUGCAUUUACAAAUAUGCUUGAGAGUUAUCUUUGGUUAGUGGCAGCAUAGCUUUAUAGUUUAGUAUUUAUUAUUAUUAUACUAAAGGGUAUGACCAAUCAUAUAUAUCCUUCCUCUCGGAUAUAUAAUUAUACUUGUUAGAAUCUGUCCCACCAUCCAAUCCUAUCAAAGUUAUUCAUAUCGUUUCCAAACCUAUUGUCAGCCUCAUUGUUUAUUCGCUCUCUUAUUUCUAUUUCAUUUGACUUUAUUGCUUUUGCAUUUAUUUUGUUUGUUCUUGUUAUCGUUACGACAAAUAGAGAGUGACGAGGUGGAUCUGAGUGCGUCCAAUGACAAGUUUUGGGAUCGAUCUCUCAGUUCUGAGUGUGAUGCGAUCGCAACAAGGUAAGUAAAAGGGGAAGGCUCUGAAUAGAGGAGCAUAAUUAGUUUUAUUACGUACCGAUGGUACAAGAAGGUACUUAAAAAUGCAGAAAAAGGAAAACGAAUAGGUGAGAAACUAAAAAAUAAAAUCGAGUAAAAAAAGCCUGGCGCGUUGGCGGCACAAUUGCGUGGCAUUCCGCGCCUUGCUUCUUGAGUCCCCGGCUCUGGAUUGGAGUCUGAGGGGGAGGUUUUUGAUUCUCCUAUCCCGUAGUCGAGUUGGCUGAACAGCCAUGUCAAGUGCAACUGGGUGCACUGCUCCGGCGAAACUGGCUGGGCGCGGAGGCGGAGGAGGAGCACCGAUGGCUAGAGCUCCUGGUAUGGGAGGCAGCAAGGGUGCAUUGACUCCUUCGUUAGGGUAUGGAAGCAUCCCAGGUAGCUGUGAGAAGCCCGCACUUGUUGCCCACUGCUGUGUCCUGGCAAACUCAGCCUGCAGUUCCUUGGAGCGCCGGCACUCGGCUAGAGGGUGGCUUGGCUUGAUGUUGCCUUGCUCAUCCCUGUAGACGUGAAACGGGCAAGGGGAAGCUAGCUGCUGAGCAAGGGUUGGUUGAUUUCUUUUUCUCUGCCAUUUGUUGCCCACGCUUGUCACCACCUCGAAAACCUCCACCGUGAUUUCCGGUCUCCUAAGAGCCAAAAUCUGUCGGAGAGGCUGCCGCGAUGAAUUCAGGAGGGUGUGAUUCUUCGAAGGCUCGGUUUUUGUGCUCCUUCGUCGAUCGUGGCCACGAUCACCCUCUUCCUCUGGAGAUCGGUGGCGUUCAUUGCGAACCGAGUCUUCACCGUCAGCCCAUCGAUUUGUGGGCUGCACACAACCCAAUUCUUCCUUGAGUUCGACUCGUCGGAGUCCUCGUUUGAAGGCGUACAUGGCGCUUUCGUCGGAGACUUCCUCAGCAGCGUGUUUGGUGUUGGUCCAGCGCUGGAUGUACGAACGGAUGGAUUCUCCCUCCUUUUGAAUACAAGCUCAGAGUUGCUCGAUGUCGCACCAGUGGCACCCAGGGUACCACCGCUGCACGACGCGUGGGCCCCGUUCCCGGGUUCCCGGGAAGGUCUCAUCCCGAGGAGCGUCUAUGAGCUCCCCGGCAAGCUACCAGCCCGAAAGGGGCUCGCGGGGCUUCGGGGAAUAUUCCCGCCUGGGCACCUCCGGGAAACUGCUUCCCGAGAGGGGGUUCCCAGGUGCGUUGGGCCCGGGUGCUUCCCGGGGUCGACUUGCUGGGUUCCCGGGCGCGUGCCCCCGCCUCGGGCGUGGGGCCCAGUGGACAGCGCCACGCGGGCGCAAUGCGGGCGCGGGACGCGCGGUCCCACCAAGGCAAUGAGUAAGGCGCACGGCUCAGUAAACGAGCCGACCGACGGGUAGUUACCCGUCCGAUCCAAGGAACAGUGGUUGUCUAAUCCUACCCUAGGGUCCUAGGCCCCUAGCAGCAGAGGUGGCACCCAUGCACGCCACCAGCUCACCGGGGGAAGUUGCAUGCCUCCCCGUUGGACACUUGUAGCUCAUGCACCAUGGCACAUGUGGCAUCCCCUUGUGUAUAAAAGGAGGACCCAUGCCAACGGUCAAGGGGGUUAGUCAGUUGGUCAGUUAGUUGGUUCGGACGAAGCUCGCUCGAUAGAUGCUUAGUGGCUCCGGUAGGCAGCCAGCAGAGAGCGGUGAGGAGUGCCUAGCCACUGAGAGAAAGCCCGGGAGCUUGCCCGACAACCUGUAAACAUUUGAUCCGUAAUUAAUAUCAGCUCAGACAGGCAGGACGUAGGGUUUUACACCUCCGGGUGGCCCAAACCUAGGUAAAAAACGUGUGUGCAUAUGUUCUUGGACUAGCGCGCAUCCUUAGCACUUUGUCUCACCGGCCCCGUAGGGCCUCAUCAGCCGUGCCGACGAUCACCGAGUCUCCGCCCCAGACGCCCCUACCGAACCUAAAAGGGGGACGUGGCCGCACGCCCUCGGUGUCGGAGCACCGAGCGACGACAUCUGGCGCGCCAGGUAGGGGGCACGGGAGUGGACAACGCCGGAGAUCGCCGGCAGCAGAAGUUUCCAUCGGCGUCGGCUUCGCUCUUCUUCGCCGACGAGCCUAGUCACCAUGCCCCCCAAGCGGGCUGGUGACUCACGCAUAGACUCGAGUCGGGGGCUCAAGAGAACCCCGAGCCCUCUAGGGUGCAGCAAACGCAGCUGCCUCCGCCGCCUCCUCGGCCGUCGACCGACAAUCGGCCAAGGGGACCGGCUGCCCCCAGUGUCGGGGGCAGUCGGGCGAGCACGCACGACGUCGCUCGGGCCAGCCAACGGGUUGAUCGCGGCUCGAGGACGCCCCGCGGCAGCGGCACCAGGAGCACGCCGCGUCACGAGCAACCCCUGGGGGUUCGCACCCUGCACACCCGGAGACGUUCAGGAAACCGGCUGCCCCCCGUGCGAACCCCGGCUGAAGCCAUCGUCGCCGCGCGCGUCAUGGUGCGGUACGAGCCGCAGCAGGGCACGCCGGUGCACGAGACGUGGGGCAAGGAGUUGGAAGCGCUUCUCGCCCUGGCCGCCCAGCAGCCGCAAGGCGAGGGCGCCCCGGUGGGCUCCGGCCACGGGCAGAACCCGGAGCGCGGAGACGCGUCACCCGCCUCACGACAGGGGGAGAACCCUCCCCUUCCUCACCGAGGCCAAGGAGACGGGGGCCCGGAGGGGUCCUCGAACUCAUCGCCCACCGUUCCGGGGGGCGAUGCGCAUGGCAUCUUGAAUGCUCGCCAGCAGGAGGAUCUGCGCCAGCGCUUGGAGCGCUGGCACAGGCGCGAGGUGGAGCGCCAGCGCCCUUAGGAGCAAGAAGAUGCUCCCAUGGGCCCCGAGGACGGCUGCACCGCGUUCACGCGCGAUCUGCGGCGGGUGGCGUGGCCCCGUAAGUUCCGAGCGCCUGCGCUCAGUACGUACGACGGGACCGCUAACCCCAAGGAUUUUCUCCUGACCUACACGUUGGGCAUGCAUGCCAUCGGCGCUGAAGGGGAUCAAGCAGCGCCACGAGGAGCGCCGCGCCGCCGGCGCCUGCUUCAAUUGUGGCGACAUCGGGCAUCUCUCCUGAGAUUGCCCGAACGACCCCAGGGUGGGUCCGAGGCCGGCCGGCGGUGGUGCCGACAAGGGUGCCCCAAGGGGGGCGCGGCCAACCCCGCGCUAUGCGGGAACACCCUCCUCGGGGACGCGACAGGGCGCGUGCUGAGGAGCAGCGCGAGUCCGACUAUUCCGGCGGCAACGAACCGGGCUUCCAGGAGCCUCGUGGCGUCGCCUGCAUUCAUGGGGGAGCUUGCGCUCUCCCUUCCCACCCCGCGGUGAAGCGCCUCACCCGCGACGUGUGCGCGCUGUUGCCGGAUGCGGAACCGCAAUAGCCGCUGAGGUGGUCGCACGUGCCGAUCACCCAGCACGGCAGUUGGGUUCAGGGGUAAUACCCUUCGUCGUCUCGCCGAUCAUUAGCAAUAUGACGGUGACCAAGGUGUUGGUGGACAACGGAGCGGGGCUUAACCUCCUGUCCGCCAGGCUGGUGGAAAAGUUCCAGCUGCCGAUGGAGCAGCUGAAGCCCACCGAACCGUUCCGGGGGGUGAACCCCGGGAUCGUGUGCCCGCUGGAACGCAUCACGCUGCCGGUCACCUUCGGGUCCCGUGUAUCGUUCAGGACCGAGCACAUAGUGUUCGACGUGGCGCAUACCCCGUUGCGCUACAACGGGAUCCUUGGUCGGCCGGCGCUGAUCAAGUAAUGGCGGCUACGCAUUGCGCCUACGGCGUGAUGAAGAUGCCGUCCGUCUAUGGAGUCCUCUCCAUCAGGUGCGACCUCAAAGACGCGGCUUGGUGCGUUGGCGAGGUCGUCCGGGCCGCUGCUGCAGCUGACGCCGGCGACGAGGAUGUUCUCGAGGACGACGGCUUGCCGGGUGAUGCCCUGGCAACGAAGAAGUCCCGUGCCACCCCGCAAGGGCUUGCCGGGGGAGGUGCAGGCUCGGGCUCGCGCCCCGGCAAGGGGCAGGGGCUCCGGGAGGAGGCCACCAAAGUGAAGAAGUUGCCCCUCCAAGCCGGCGAUGAGGAGCGCACCGUUACCGUCGGUGCGAACCUGGCCGCCGAAUAGGAAAGCGCCCUCAUCACCUUCCUCCGGGAUAACGCCGAUGUGUUCGCCUGGCAAGCGUCGGACCUUCCCGGAGUCCCCAGGGAGGUGAUUGAGCAUCGGCUCGCGGUGUGCCCGGAUGCGCACCCCAUUAGGCAGAAGAUCCGGCGGCAAGCACAAGAGCGGAAAGAUUUCAUCAAGCAAGAGGUGGGCAAGCUUAGGGCUGCCAGGGCAAUCAGGGAAGUUUUGUACCCACUUGGCUGGCUAACCCUGUAGUAGUGCCUAAAGCAGGGAAUAAGCUUCGCAUGUGCGUACAUUUUACCGAUCUUAAUCGUGCAUGCCCCAAGGAUCCCUUCCCUGUACCCCGUAUCGACCAGAUAGUUGAUUCUACCACUGUUGUGAUUUGCUGAGUUUUCUGGAUGCUUUCUCCGGCUACCAUCAAAUCAAGAUGGCGGUCGAGGAUGAGGAAAAGACAGCGUUUAUCACCUCGGUUGGCUGCUAUUGCUAUACAUGCAUGCCUUUCGGGUUGAAGAACGCGGACUCCACAUUCCAGCGCGCCCUGCGCGAAUGUUUGGGCCCCCAGCUAGGCCGCAACGUGGAGGCCUACAUGGACGACAUCGUCAUCAAAUCGAAGCGUAGGGACUCGCUGGUUGAUGACUUGCGGGAGACAUUCGACAACCUCCGCAGGAUCAAGCUCAAGAUGAACCCUGAUAAGCGCACCUUCGGAGUCAACUCCAGGGAGCUUCUGGAUUUCUUGGUUUCACACCGGGGGAUACAGGCCAACUCGACAAAAAUAGAAGCCAUCCAGAAGAUGGAGGCCCCCCGCAAGGUGAAAGAUGUCCAACGCCUCAACGGCUGUGUUGCCGCGCUGGGACGUUUCAUCUCCAGGCUGGGUGAGCGUGCCUUGCCUUUCUUCCGGGUAAUGAAGAAGAAGGGUCCAGUCGACUGGACUCCCGAGGCCGAGGCAGCGUUCCAAGAACUCAAGCAGUACCUGAGGUCGUCGCCCAUCCUCGUCGCCCCCAAGCUGGGCGAGCCGCUGCUACUCUACCUAGUGGUGAUUGACCAGGUGGUCAGCUUGGUGCUGAUUGCCAAGAGGGAGGAAGACGUCCCGGGGACUGGGGCCGCGGGGCAGGGGGCGGGGCGGCCCUCGGCAACCGCCUCAGACCCGGGGACCGCCCCCGAGCCGGCAACCUCGGCACUGCGGAAGCGGUUGGUGCAGCACCCGGUGUACUUCGUUAGUACGGUGCUACGCGACGCGCGGACAAGGUACCCGCAAGUACAGAAGCUCCUUCUGGGGAUUCUCCUUGCGUCCCGCAACUGCGCCACUACUUCCAGGCGCACCGCGUCACGGUGGUGUCCGGGUUCUGCCUUGAGCGAGCCCUCACCAACCGUGAAGCCACCGGGAGGGUGGCCGAAUGGAGGAUGGAGUUGUCGGAGUUCGACCUCCACUUCGCCAACUCUAAAAGCAUUAAGAGCACGGCCCUGGCGGACUUCGUCGCGGAAUGGACGUCCACGGGCGUGGAAGAAAGUGAGCCGGAGACCAGCCUUCCCGGCAAGUUGGACGAGGGCCACUAGGUCCUCUACUUCGACGGUGCAUUCAGUCUUCAGGGAGCGGGCGCCGGGGUCGUCAUCGAGUUACCAACAGGGGACCAGUUGAGGUUCGCUGUUCAACUCGACUUCGCCAACUCCACCAACAACACGGCGGAGUACGAGGGCCUGUUUGCGGGGUUGCGGGCAGCGGUCGCCCUCGACAUUAAGCGCCUGGUUGUUUGUGGCGAUUCCCAGCUCGUAAAUAACCAGGUGAACAAGGACUACGAUUGCAAGCUGGAACGAAAGUUCAAAGGUUUGCGCUUUGAGCACGUCAAGCGGAAGGAUAACUUCGCUGCUUACGAG